rnacentral:lncRNA from 1 species
GAAUCCUCUUUCGCAUGACAAUCUUAAUUAUCUCCCAUACUCCAAAACUCACAAAAACAUCAAGAGUCCGCUGAGAAUAAAUUUAAGUAAAAAACAUGCACACACAGAUAAUAAUAAUAAUCAUGUUUCCAUAAAAUUGCUAAGUCCAGAGAUAAUACAUAAACAUAGUAGACUGUUCAUGACACAUAUCACGGUGGACAGUGUUUGUGUCCUUAUUACAAGCAACGAGAGAUGCUCGUCACCAACACGCGCGCGCACAGAUGCACGACAUACAUAUAGUAGAGACCAACAGAUGGUCGUCCCAUAUGGUGAACAAUUUAUUGGAGAUAAAUAUUAACGUAACUUGGCCAUAGCUUGAAGCAUAGCAACAUAUGCCUAUGAGUGGCAUUCAUGCUAUCGUUUUAGGCUUGUCCAGCUCCUUCCAUCUUAGCAAGCACUUCCAUUUCUACCAUCUUAGCAGCAACUGUCAAAUUGAGAUACGGAAAUCCCAUUAGCGCAUGAGUUAAUUUUGCAGUGGAAAUAGAGUACAAGAUGUCUUCAUGAUGUAAGUAAUAUGCCUGAAGUUGUGAGAUGGGAAGUGAAGUCAACAAAUUACAUUAACGGAAAUGCAUGGAAGGCCACACAUACGUAUUAGUCCAUGAUAUGCUACAAAGCUUGUAUGUACAUAUAGCAAAUUAAAUGCAUUAAUUGAAUAGAGUGUGUUUAGUGAAUUUACCAGAAUCGUCCAGAAAACAUGGGAAACAGCAAGUGUUCUUGCAGACUGCGUCGGAGGCACCCGCACGAAUACAAAGCUGACAACAUAGUUUUGCCUGGGCGGAUGCGCAGCAGCCGCACUCCGCCGCGGUGGGGUUAACAUUGAGGCUCAAGAUGACCAGGCACAUGAUCACCAUCAAAGUGGUAGUCCUCUUUCCCUCCAUUGCCUCCUCUUAGCUUGCUGCUACCUUCCUUGGUUACCUAGCUAAGUUUAUUGGUUUUGUGUUGAGAGGUGUGAUUCUUGAAUGGACGUUGCCGGCGGCAAUUUAUAGGCAGCUGAGCUAUGUGAUGAUAUGGACUAGGUGCAAAUGGGUGGUUAAUGGCAAGGAAAGGGGCGUCAGACAAAGCCCAAUGGCAACUGCUGACAUGCGAUUAAAUUCAGAUCCACAUCCGGCCAUUCAAUAAUACGGUUGGAGUUGUGGCACAGAUAUAUUAUUGCAUGAUCAUCAAGAUAAGAUCGUACAGUGACUGAGUGAGACAAUAAAUAGCCAAGUAAACUAUUUUAUCCUGCUGCAAGCUGCAUUCAUAAGUUUAUUUCACCUUUGAUCACAAUACUCUUCACACACGUACGUCUCAGGGAGAUCUCACUUCCGCUGGACUGCUCACUUCCGCUGUCGUCGGUACUGCCAAAGACAUAAGCUCACAUCUGCUAUUGCGGAGCAGGCCAAUUUGCUGCGGAACUUCGGCGACGACCUGAAGGACAUGAACUCGGUGCUGGAGUCCAUCUCAGCAGCGCUCUAGGACGCUGACACCGGUAGAAAAACGACCUUCCAUCGUCAACAAAAAUCCCGGUAGCUUUUUUACUCGGUACUAAAGAGGUUUUAAUCUCGUGCAAACACCUUUAGUCCAGAUUGCUAUUACCACGCAACCCGGACUAAAGCGUCCCCCGCGAGUUAGUAUAUAAGGAUUGCAUCCUUUACUCAGUCAGAUAUAAUAUGUAGGUGAGAUGGUAAGGAAGCUAUGCGUGAGGCUUCAGGUUGUGGGUUCGAAUCCAAGUGGGUGCAGCUGUGGCUUAAGCGGCUGAGGCACGCCGCCAUAGACAUCUCAGAUUUGCUCGAAGACUACCAAGACACUAGUGAACCCUUAACAGUAAAGGUGAGUACUUAUGAAUGUCAGCAUCCAUGUUGUCCAUGCUUCCAAUGUAAUAACAAGAUGGACUACUCUUCCUAGCGGACUCUUCACAACCACUCGUAAAGCUAUGCGUUUCUCAAUGCAAUUUCGUAGAAGCCAAUCGAUCCAACCAAGUGACUAAAUCAUUCGUCCUUUCCAAUGAUGUGCAUCAGGUUUUCUAUAUGAAGGGCAUGUCUAGCAAACCUAAGAUUUCAGAAGAAAAAGAAAAAUCAUUGGAGCCAAAGAGCCACAUAGUUCUUCUAGGAAAAAAAUCAUGGGAGUCGAGAACAUAUCAAACCAAUCAGGGGAUUAUGGUCAGCUUAAUGGCAUGCCUCCAUUCGAUGUCGAAGUUCACCCAAGCAUCAUGUUAGCCAAACAUCAAAUGUUCGUGCGUUGUUACGGUAAAGAUCAAUUGUGUUUUUUAAACUCUUGGAAUUUUUUUAUCUAAGUUUUUAUUUACACUUAUUGGAUGUCUACACAUUUGCUAGAAAACUAAAAUAAUUUGGACUUAAUUAUUUCUUUCAACUGAAGUACUCACUAAAUUUCUACCUUUUUAUUUAAGCAAGAGAGUUGCUAAAAAAAAUGGAUACGUAACCAUGUUGUAUCAUACAAAGUAACCACGUUUCACAUAUAGUCCGGCUUAGCAAACACCAUUGUUUUCUGAACAUAGCGUACAUGAGUUAACAGACAUGGAUUUAUUUCUAUUGCAAGUAGCAUAGCGUACAACCUGCCUGCACCGAUGCAGCUCAAUAUGCGAUAAUUUUUAUCUUCCCAUGUAAUUUUUCUACUCUAGUACAUAUUGAACUCCACAUUAAUGUCAUGUUCUUUCGCGCCCCAGAAGGUUCCUAAAGUUUGGAAACUUAAUAGAUAGCCAGAAUUUUUUUUAAAGAUAUUUAUAUGGAUACUUGUAUGUUCUUUCCAAACUAACAAUAUUGUUUACCAAUAUCAGAAGGAAUAUGGUUAGGAGCCAUUGCCGCAUAUGGCAGGUGAUGGUAGAUGGCGUAUGGGGUUUCGUUAAUUUAAUGGUAUAAUAAGCUGAAAUACAUUUUCUAUUUGCAAAUGAAUCAUAGCUGAAAUUGGUGGGAUUGUUUUUUCGCCGGUUUAGCAUCCUGUGCACCAGUUCAACCGGAGGGAAGCUGUUUUUUUUCUUUGGUUUUCCACCGGUUCACCGAGACCGAUGACAAUUUUAUGGCAGAAUCAUUACUUGUUUUACUAUUAGGUGAAGAUUUUAGCGUUUAGGUAUCUCACAUUAAACGCAACUUCAACAAUCUAUUUCUAGUGUAUAAUGUAGGAGACCCCGUAAAGAGUCUACACACACAUAUAUGUUGACUAUGAAUGUAAGUUUGUUGGUUUUAUGUAUGUUCGUUUGGAGUUUAUAUAAAUUUUACAUUUUAUAGUUUUGUGUAUAUGACGAAGAUCCAUGACUUGCAUUAAUUUAGCCUUUCUUCCAACAACUCUUAUGCAUGAUGUUUCUAGGCGAGCGUACUGGUUGCAAUUUUGGUCCCCGAUAUAGUGUGAGGACUUAAGGGACACGUGCAGGUCGUAACCUUAGAUAUUUUUGCUGAGAAUGGAUGAAGAAGCAAUAAUAUACUUUGCUUCUGAUUUUCUCCAUGUCAUUUGCUUACUCUUAUCCCUUUUAUUUAUCAUUAUAAGAUGAAAAUAUUGUAAAAACUUGGCUACGUGCGGUCGCAGAAGCUAGAGACUAAAGCGUCCCCCACGAGUUACUAUAUAAAAGGAUUGCAUCCUCUACUCAGUCAUAUGUACUGUGUAGGUGAGAUGGUAAGGAAGCUAUGUGUGAGGCUUGAGGUUGUAGGUUCGAAUCCCACGCACCGCGUGCGCAUGCGCAUAUUUUGCGUGAAAAAUCGCAUGACUUGUGGUCGGCCAAGGAGAAGUGCGUGCGGCUGAGGCACGCCGCCAUAGACAUCUCGGAUUUGCUCCAAGACUACCAAGACACUAGCGAACCCUUAACGGCAAAGUUGAGUACUUACGCGUGUUAGCAUCUAUGUUGUCCAUGCUUCCAAUGCAAUAACAAGAAGGGCUACUCAUCCUAGCGGAUUCUUCACAACCACUCGUAAAGCUAUGCGUUUCUCAAUGCAAUUUCGUAGAUGUCAAUCGAUCCAACCAAGCGACUGAAUCAUUCGUCCUUGCUAAUGAUGUGCAUCAGGUUUUCUAUAUGAAGAACAUGUCUAGCAAAUCCAAGAUUUCAGAAGAAAAAUAAAAAUCAUGAGAACCAAAGCACCACGUAGUUCUUCCAGGUAAAAAAAACAAUCAUCCACUGGGAUGACACACAGUAGCGAUCCAAAACGUCCAUAUUAAGACUUUUUGAUAGCAGAAAAAACAUGAAAAUGUCUAAUAUUUGUAGUAUUAAAAGGAAAAAUAAUAUAUUCACUUGACCUUUUUUUCGUAGCAACGCACCGGUGCGUAGUCAGACUUAGGCCACGUUUGGAUACUCCCUACUAAAGUUUAGCACCUGUCACAUAGGAUGUUUGGAUACUAAUUAGGAGUAUUAAACAUAGGCUAAUUAUAAAACUAAUUGAACAGAUGGAGUCUAAUUUGCGAGACGAAUCUAUUAAGCCUAACUAGUCCAUGAUUUGACAAUGUGGUGCUACAGUAACCAUUUGCUAAUGGUGGAUUAAUUAGGCUUAAUAGAUUCGUCUCGCGAAUUAACAUAGGGUUCUGCAAUUAAUUUUAUAAUUAGCUCAUGUCUAGUCCUUCUAAUUAGCAUCCGAACAUCUGAUAUGAUACUGCUAAAGUUUAUCACCUAGUAUCCAAAUACCCCCUUAAUGCACGAUGCCUGUGCAUCCACUGGGCCUACCCUCGUGGAUCACGCGCUCGUGGAUCACGCGCACCAUGACAUGGCUCAUUAGCUAGUCGUGCUAAUCCUUACCACCAAAUUAAAAACUAGCAUGUGUUGUGUGUUUGUGACCCUAAACGACUACCACCUUCCCGAGUCCACCGGAGUUGCCAGUUCACCACUAAGCUGACUCUCCGAGCUUCAUGUCACUGUCACCGCUCCAAAGACCUAGAUCGGUUCGCUGUGCACCCCGCUUCGUCCUGAGCUAAAUCCCAUCACGAAAGGUGACCGGAUGCUCGUUUUCGAGCGAAUUCUAGCGAGAUUGCCACCACCUUUCCCCUUCCAGCCGAUCGCAGCUGUCUGAUCACAAACCGACAGCCCAGAUCGGAUUUGACCAGGUCAAUACCGGUCAAGCCGAGAUGCAUGCUGCUUUUGCAAGAAGGCCCCUAUUUUUCUCUCUUUUUGCACUUGAGGUCCUACGCAGUUCAAAAGUAAUUAGAUCUAGAUCCUUUUUCUUCUGUUUUAGCCCUGUUCUUUUAUAAAAUCCCACCCGCCAUCCUGUUUGGUAUUUUGACAUGUUAGACCUUCUAUUUAUAUGUUUAAUUAGGUUUUAGCCCUUGGUUUCUUUAAGUUUAGCUCUUGGAAGUUUAGUUUUCUCGCAGUUAAGCCCCUGAACCUUGUUUAGUUCAUAUCUUUAGCGUUUUAAAUCCGUUUUAAGAGAUUCUUACGCCCAUAAGUUCGUGUUGAUGCAUAGAUUAGUUGACUUAUACGGACCUUGCUGAUUCAGCUCCUUCAUUGUGCUUCAGAUCUCGCUAGUGAAGAAUAAUGGAUGGGCUUUGGUUGAGCUUGUAGAUCGACCUGCAGUUGCAGUGAAUGUGCUGAGGACUGGCGGUACCAAUAAUGGGAGGCCGCUGCUCUGCUUGCUACCAAGGCCUGCGACGCUUGGACGCCAUUCAGAGUGCAUAAUUUCCAAGGAUCUCAAGGGCUCCACACCACGUUCCAAGUGUUUUUUCUUUGCCGAGUGUUUUUAGCUCGGCACUUGGCAAAGAGCUUGUUUGCCGAGUGUCCGAAAAAAACACUUGGCAAAGAGAAAACACUCGGCAAAUUUGAUGUUUCCCGUAGUGAUGUACUAUUCAAACUUGAACUGGGAUGCAGGCUUCAGUACCAAAGAGAGCUCUGGGCGCGGGUGAGCAGUGAGCUGGCCGGGCAGGGAGCUCCAAAGCGACAGCAACAAAGAGAGAAAUGCUAAGAGUAAGAACGACACACGAGGUCACUUCACAUAGAUAAUAGCAGUACGAACCAUACAAUAUCCUCUCUCAGUUUCACUCCGCCUCACACACGGCUAGCACACCAUGCAUGCCGAUUUCAUAUUAUUAAUAUUAUUUUUUGGAUGGUUGUUGAAACUAUAUAUAUAGUUAGUCCAAUCUCACGUUUCCGAUUAUAAAAAUCAACGUAAAGAGAUCGGUAGGGAGAGCCGGCAUAAUGAAGCCGACGCGUGUAAUAAGCACCAGAGCCGGCAUUUAUACAAACUGGUACGAAUAGUAAAAAACUAGAAUUUAUAAAUAAAAAAAUGAUUUGCACAUCUAUGCAAUAAUUAGGGGUUAGUGGCAGGUCUAGAGAGAUAUCUCAUCAUUAUAUCCGGUUUAACGAGGAUAAAAAAGAGUGUAUUUUCCACUCAUCAUGUUGUCUUUUCGCAGCGGUACCACUUUUCGUGUGUUGUAUCGGUCCCCUAAUACGGAGUCUCCGAGGCCCGAGAAAAUAAGGAAAGUGAUAGUAGCCCAGAAAUCGGCCAAGUUUCUUUCCCCUUUGGCUUUCCUACUAGGAUUCAGAAUCCUCUUUCGCAUGACAAUCUUAAUUAUCUCCCAUACUCCAAAACUCACAAAAACAUCAAGAGUCCGCUGAGAAUAAAUUUAAGUAAAAAACAUGCACACACAGAUAAUAAUAAUAAUCAUGUUUCCAUAAAAUUGCUAAGUCCAGAGAUAAUACAUAAACAUAGUAGACUGUUCAUGACACAUAUCACGGUGGACAGUGUUUGUGUCCUUAUUACAAGCAACGAGAGAUGCUCGUCACCAACACGCGCGCGCACAGAUGCACGACAUACAUAUAGUAGAGACCAACAGAUGGUCGUCCCAUAUGGUGAACAAUUUAUUGGAGAUAAAUAUUAACGUAACUUGGCCAUAGCUUGAAGCAUAGCAACAUAUGCCUAUGAGUGGCAUUCAUGCUAUCGUUUUAGGCUUGUCCAGCUCCUUCCAUCUUAGCAAGCACUUCCAUUUCUACCAUCUUAGCAGCAACUGUCAAAUUGAGAUACGGAAAUCCCAUUAGCGCAUGAGUUAAUUUUGCAGUGGAAAUAGAGUACAAGAUGUCUUCAUGAUGUAAGUAAUAUGCCUGAAGUUGUGAGAUGGGAAGUGAAGUCAACAAAUUACAUUAACGGAAAUGCAUGGAAGGCCACACAUACGUAUUAGUCCAUGAUAUGCUACAAAGCUUGUAUGUACAUAUAGCAAAUUAAAUGCAUUAAUUGAAUAGAGUGUGUUUAGUGAAUUUACCAGAAUCGUCCAGAAAACAUGGGAAACAGCAAGUGUUCUUGCAGACUGCGUCGGAGGCACCCGCACGAAUACAAAGCUGACAACAUAGUUUUGCCUGGGCGGAUGCGCAGCAGCCGCACUCCGCCGCGGUGGGGUUAACAUUGAGGCUCAAGAUGACCAGGCACAUGAUCACCAUCAAAGUGGUAGUCCUCUUUCCCUCCAUUGCCUCCUCUUAGCUUGCUGCUACCUUCCUUGGUUACCUAGCUAAGUUUAUUGGUUUUGUGUUGAGAGGUGUGAUUCUUGAAUGGACGUUGCCGGCGGCAAUUUAUAGGCAGCUGAGCUAUGUGAUGAUAUGGACUAGGUGCAAAUGGGUGGUUAAUGGCAAGGAAAGGGGCGUCAGACAAAGCCCAAUGGCAACUGCUGACAUGCGAUUAAAUUCAGAUCCACAUCCGGCCAUUCAAUAAUACGGUUGGAGUUGUGGCACAGAUAUAUUAUUGCAUGAUCAUCAAGAUAAGAUCGUACAGUGACUGAGUGAGACAAUAAAUAGCCAAGUAAACUAUUUUAUCCUGCUGCAAGCUGCAUUCAUAAGUUUAUUUCACCUUUGAUCACAAUACUCUUCACACACGUACGUCUCAGGGAGAUCUCACUUCCGCUGGACUGCUCACUUCCGCUGUCGUCGGUACUGCCAAAGACAUAAGCUCACAUCUGCUAUUGCGGAGCAGGCCAAUUUGCUGCGGAACUUCGGCGACGACCUGAAGGACAUGAACUCGGUGCUGGAGUCCAUCUCAGCAGCGCUCUAGGACGCUGACACCGGUAGAAAAACGACCUUCCAUCGUCAACAAAAAUCCCGGUAGCUUUUUUACUCGGUACUAAAGAGGUUUUAAUCUCGUGCAAACACCUUUAGUCCGGAUUGCUGUUACCACGCAACCCGAACUAAAGCGUCCCCCACGAGUUACUAUAUAAGGAUUGCAUCCUUUACUCAGUCAGAUAUAAUGUGUAGGUGAGAUGGUAAGGAAGCUAUACGUGAGGCUUCAGGUUGUGGGUUCGAAUCCAAGGAGAAGUGGGUGCAGCUGUGGCUUAAGCGGCUGAGGCACGCCGCCAUAGACAUCUCAGAUUUGCUCGAAGACUACCAAGACACUAGUGAACCCUUAACAGUAAAGGUGAGUACUUAUGAAUGUCAGCAUCCAUGUUGUCCAUGCUUCCAAUGUAAUAACAAGAUGGACUACUCUUCCUAGCGGACUCUUCACAACCACUCGUAAAGCUAUACGUUUCUCAAUGCAAUUUCGUAGAAGCCAAUCGAUCCAACCAAGUGACUAAAUCAUUCAUCCUUUCCAAUGAUGUGCAUCAGGUUUUCUACAUGAAGGGCAUCUCUAGCAAACCCAAGAUUUCAGAAGAAAAAGAAAAAUCAUUGGAGCCAAAGAGCCACAUAGUUCUUCCAGGAAAAAAAAAUCAUGGGAGUCGAGAACAAAUCAAACCAAUCAGAGGAUUAUGGUCAGCUUAAUGGCAUGCCUCCAUUCGAUGUCGAAGUUCACCCAAGCAUCAUGUUAGCCAAACAUCAAAUGUUCGUGCGUUGUUACGGUAAAGAUCAAUUGUGUUUUUUAAACUCAUGGAAUUUUUUUUCUAAGUUUUUAUUACACUUAUUGGAUGUCUACACAUUUGCUAGAAAACCAAAAUAAUUUGGACUUAAUUAUUUCUUUCAACUGAAGUACUCACUAAAUUUCUACCUUUUUAUUUAAGCAAGAGAGUUGCUAAAAAAAAUGGAUACAUAACCAUGUUGUAUCGUACAAAGCAACCACAUUUCACAUAUAGUCCGGCUUACCAAACACCAUUUUUUACUGAACAUAGCGUACAUGAGUUAAGAGACAUGGAUUUAUUUCUAUUGCAAGUAGCAUAGCGUACAACCUGCCUGCACCGAUGCAGCUCAAUAUGCGAUAAUUUUUAUCUUCCCAUGUAAUUUUUCUACUCUAGUACAUAUUGAACUCCACAUUAAUGUCAUGUUCUUUGGCGCCCCAGACGGUUCCUAAAGUUUGGAAACAAAAUAGAUAGCCAGAAAUUUUUUUAAAAAAUAUUUAUAUGGAUAUUUGUAUGUUCUUUGCAAACUAACAAUAUUGUUUACCAAUAUCAAAAGGAAUAUGGCUAGGAGCCAUUGCCGCAUAUGGCAGGUGAUGGUAGAUGGCGUAUGGGAUUUCGUUAAUUUAAUGGUAUAAUAAGCUGAAAUACAUUUUCUAUUUGCAAAUGAAUCAUAGCUGAAAGUGGUGAGAUUGUUUUUUCGCCGGUUUAGCAUCCUGUGCACCGGUUCAACUGGAGGGAAGCGGUUCACCGAGACGGAUGACAAUUUUACGGCAGAAUCAUUACUUGUUUUAUUAUUAGGUGAAGAUUUUAGCUUUUAGGUAUCUCACAUUAACAAUCUGUUUCUAGUGUAUAAUGUAGGAGACCCGUAAAGAGUCUACACACACAUAUAUAUGUUGACUAUGAAUGUAAGUUUGUUGGUUUUAUGUAUGUUCAUUUGGAGUUUAUAUAAAUUUUACAUUUUAUAGUUUUGUGUAUAUGACGAAGAUCCAUGACUUGCAUUAAUUUAACCUUUCUUCCAACAACUCUUAUGCAUGCUGUUUCUAGGGGAGCGCACUGGUUGCAAUUUUGGUCCCCGAUAUAGCAUGAGGACUUAAGGGAGACGGGCACGUCGUAACCUUAGAUAUUUUUGCAAGAAGCAAAUUAUACUUUGCUUUUGAUUUUCUCCAUGCCAUUUGCUGACUCUUAUCCCUUUUAUUUAUCAUUAUAAGAUGAAAAUAUUGUAAAAACUUGGUUACGUGCGGUCGCAGAAGCUAGAGACUAUUUCUUUUUUUAAAAAUACGCAAGAGGGAGAAACUUGGUAACAGCUAGACAGUGAAGAUCGCAUUUCAUAAGAAAGAUGGUGCACGUUCUUGUUUGGCUGUUAACGAAAUGACUUCGUUUCACCACACCACCAGAGAGCCCCAUUGCACUUGCAGCAAAAGCGUGGAGCCGCUUUCAACCAGCGUGCAAUAAUGCAGUCCCGCGUGUCUUGGUCUUACAGGAUAUUUGGUUCUUUAGUCCGGACUAAAAUUCAUGUCGCAUAGAAUAUUCAGAUGUUAAAUAGGAGGACUAAACAUGAGCUAAUUAUAAAAAUAAUUACACAAAUGGAGGCUAAUUCCCAAGACAAAUCUAUUAAGUCUAAUUAAUCCAUCAUUAGCACAUGUUUACCGUAGCACCGUAUUGUCAAAUCAUGGACUAAUUAGGCUUAAUAAAUUCGUCUCGCAAGUUAGUCUCCAUCUAUACAAUUUGUUUUAUAAUUAGUCAAUGUUUAAUACUCUAUCUAAACAUUCAAUGUGACUGAAAUUUUAGGAGGUCCUAAAGAACCAAACACCCCUUAGUCUCCGCCUGAACUAUAGCAGGUGCUGGCAGCGGUAGCAGGGUCGUCCAUUAUAUCUAUGGAUGGAAAUGAUCUGAUUCGGAUGGAAUCGAAUUCGAAUAGCACUUUUUACCACAUACUAAUCUGAAUUGGAUGUUCUCGAAUGUGAAUGCAAAACGGAUAGUUCAAAUUUGAAUACUUUGCGGAUUUUUGCAUAAUAUUAAUCGAAGAGAAUUUGUUAAAUUUAGCCGAGACAUAAAUUUUUCUAAAUUCAAAUACUUUGCAGAUUUUCGAAUGCAAAUUUUUUCAUACGAUCUCGGUUGAAUACAAACUUUAUAUCAAAGUUGUAUAUUUAGAUUAUAUAUAAAACUUUGUAGUUGACCUCCUUUUCAUUUAAAAUUUUUUAAUAGCUCAAAACAUUAUUCUAAGCUUUCUAAUUUCAAAAUCUUGAAUUUUAAAUUUUUCAAACGACCUCGGAUGCAAACAAGCUCUAUAUCAAAGUGCUUAAUGAGAUAUAAAAUUUUGUAGUUGACAAGUUUUUUAGUUGAAAACAUUUAGUUAUCACAAACAUACAAGUUCUUCAUUUGAUGUCGAGGAUUGGAAGUGUUGAGUUUGAAGAAUAUAUUCUUUGAUUACAAACUUUUCCAUAUGAUCUUGGAUGAAUACGAACUUUAUUUCAAAGUUGCAAAUUUAGAUUAGACCAAAAACAGUAUAGUUUACAAUUUUUUCAUUCAAAAUUAUUUAGUAGCUCAAAAUGUUAUUCUAAACUCUCUAAUUUUGAAAUCUUGAAUUUUAAAAUUUUCAAAUGACCUCGGAUGCAAACAAGCUCUAUAUCGAAGUGGUAGUUCUUAAUGAGAUAUAAAAUUUUGUAGUUCCAUCUGAGAUCAUUUAACAGUCACAAAUAUACAAGUUUUUCAUAUGAUGCUAAGGAUCAGAAAGAUUAAGUUUGAAGGCUGUAUUUUUUUAAUACAAAUUUUUGCAUACGAUCUCGGAUGAAUACAAACUUUAUAUCAAAAUUGUAGAGCUCGAUGAGAAUUUAAACUUUGUAGUUGAUAUAUUUUUCAUUCGAGAAUGUUUAGUGGUCCAAACAUGUAUUAUAAGUUCAGAGAAGAAACACACAAUCGGCCACGUCAUCAAUUGACAACUUCCAAACUGAGCAUUCCUAUUGGUUCACACCUUUCCCUUUCAACUCGUCAAGCUUAUCUCCUCCCACUCCUCCAUCGUUCACUCCCCCUUCCCCUUCCUCUCUCCCUCCCUCCCUCCGCUCCAGCAGUGGCAGCCCGACCUGCCUCCUAGGACGGUGGUGUGCGGGGCUCGGGCAUCCCUGGCCUCUAGUGGCGUGGCAGGGCGGCCUCCAGCAGCGAUGGCGGAACUCGGCCUCCGGUGGCGCACAGGCAGCGCAGCCUACCUGGUCAAAGGCGGCGCAACAGGGCGACCUCCCCAGCCUCCGGCGGCGCGCAGGGCAUCCAUGACCUCCCCGGCCUCCCUUGCCAGAGGUGGUGCGCGGGGCUGCGCCGACCUCCCCAACCAGAGGUGGCAAGGCCCCAGCUUACGGCGGCGCGUGGCUCCCCAGCUAGGGUGUGGUGGGGCGGCGGCAAGUCAGGCGUGGCCGCGUGGGGGUGGGGGGAGGGGGUUGGGCUGGGCGGAUUCAGAUAGUAUCCAUUUAACCAUCCGAAAUGUGGAUAUCCGUUUAACAAUCCGUUUAGCAAAACCGAAUUUGGAUACUUCCACUUAAGUAUCCAACUAGGAUUCGAAUGCGGAUGGUCCUACCAUAUUGUUAUUUCAGCGGAUACGAAUAUGGGAUAAUUCGAAUAACGACUUACCCAUCCCUGAUUAUAUCCGUGUAAAUAAAUAAUUGCGGCAGCAGGUUCCCGUCGCCACGCCCCCGUCAAACCAAACAAUUGCUUGCGCGACACCGUGUUACUAGAUCUUGUACAGUACUCCCUCCGUUGCAGUACUCCCUAAUGAAAGUUGAGAAUCGAUCGACAACCACGGCUAGUUGCUAUGCACUCGAUCAGAUGGUCCAGGCGCCCGCUGGUAAUCAGGUCGUGGUUCACGCGCAUCAGGCCAGCUAUGACGUUGCCAGCAGUGCUCAGUACACAAAUCUAGCUAUCAGUCGGAUCCAAUUGGGCAGGCAUUUGCACUGUGGUUGUGUUUGAACCUGUAGAUGUCGUUGUCAUUAUCAGGCACCAUACAUCCUCUCUCAGAGGGUGUUUCACCCCCUAAACUUUAGCCCCUCUCACAUCGAAUGUUUUAGAUACUAAUUAGGAAUAUUAAACAUAGAAAAUUUACUAAACCCAUUACAUGGAUGGAGGGUAAACGGCGAGACAAAUCUAUUAAAUCUAAUUAGUCCAUGAUUUGACAAUGUGCUGCUAUAGUAACUAUUUGCUAAUGAUGGAUUAAUUAGACUUAAUAGAUUUUUCUUGCUGUUUAGCCUCCGUCUGUGCAAUUAGUUUUAUAAUUAAUUCAUAUUUAGUCCUCCUAAUUAGUCUCCGAAUAUUUGAUGUGACACGGACUAAACUUUAGAUAGCACACCAGGGACCGACACCAUGCAUGCUGAUUUCAUAUCAUAAUUAAGGAAAGUGAUAUCAUAAUUAAGGAAAGUGGUAGCAUCCAAGAAAUCGAUCAUGUUUCUUCCCCCUUUGGCUUUCCUACUAGGAUUUGGAUAGCGGGCCUUCCUACUAGGAUUUGGAAUCCGCUAUCGCAUGACUAUCUUAAUUAUGUCCCAUAGUCCAAAACUCACAAAACAUCAAAAAUCCAUCGAGAAUAAAUUAAGUAAAAAACAUGCGCACACAGAUAAUAAUAAUAAUAAUCAUGUUUCAAUAAAAUUGCUAAGAUUAGAGAUAGUACAUAAACAUAUUAGAUUGUUCGUGACACAUAUCAUGGUGGAUAGUGUCUGUGUCCUUAUUACAAGCAGCGAUAGAUGCUUGUCACCACACACACGCACGCACAGAUGCACGACAUACAUAUAGUUGAGACCAACGGAUGGACGUCCCAUAGGGUGAAUAAUUUAUUGGAGAUAAAUAUUAACAUAACUUGGCCAUAGCUUGAAGCAUAGCAACAUAUGCUUAUGAAUGGCAUUCAUGCGGGUAGCAAUGCUAUCAUAUGCUUUUAGGCUUGUCCUUAGCUUCUUCCAUCUUAUAGCAAACACUGCCAUUUCUUCCAUCUUAGCAGCAACUGUCAAAUUAAUUGAGAUAUGGAAAUCCCAUUAGCGCAUGAGUUAAUUUUGCAGUGGAAAUAGAGUAGAAGAUGUCUUCAUAAUGUAAGUAAUAUGACUCUGACAUAGGGAGUGAAGUCAACAAAUUACAUUAACGGAAAUGCAUGGAAGGCCACGCAUAUGUAUUAGUCCGAUAUGCUACAAAGCUUGUAUGUACAUAUAAUAAAUUAAAUGCAUUGAAUAGAGUGAUUUUAGUGAAUUUACCUAAAUCGGAUUAAAAAACAUGGGAAACAACAAGUGUUCUUGUAGGGCUUUGUUUAGUUCCCAAAUUGGGAGUAGCAAAGUUUGCAUUUUACCAUAAAUGCGCAACUAUAGCAUGUAGCAUUUUGUUUGUAUUUGUGAAUUAUUAUCCAAACAUUGACUAAUUAGGCUCAAAAGAUUCAUCUCGCAAAGUACAACAAAACUGUGCAAUUAGUUUUUGAUUUCGUCUACAUUUAGUACUCCGUGCAUGUACCGCAAGUUUGAUGUGAUGGGGAAUCUUGCUUUUCAAUAGUGACAAAGUUGGGAUUUCGGGGGGAAGGCCUGUGUCGGAGCCACAUGCAAGAAUGGCUGACAUUGAGGCUCAGACAAAGCCCAAUGGCAACUGCUGACAUGCGAUUAAAUUUAGAUAUCCACAUCCAGCCAUUCACAUUUAUGAGAUAUGGACACGGUGCAAAUGGGUGGGGUCCUGAUAUGGAGGUGCGAAUGGCUGUCUACUUGUAUAGUGUAGCUCCAAUGUACGUAUAUGUAUCUUAUGCAUGUAUACAGUUGCACAAACUCUGAACCAACUCUUCAUAACAGGUCUUUGUUACCAAGUAACUUUACUUUUGCACGUUUCAGCCGAGAGGUAGAAGAGAAUAUUUUUGCAUUUUCCAUGUGCGUCAGUGGUAGAGAACUAGGAAUUAGUUCCGGAUGGUAGGGCACAAAUCUUCCAAACAACUAUCCGAAAUUAAGCAAUCGAGAUAAAGGGUGCCAUCUAUUCUCUCCGAAAAACACAGGUACCAAAAAGAAGAAGAGAAGAGGGAGGGCCUCCCGUUAAGGCCCGCUCGGGGUCUCCAUCCCACCACGCGCCCUCCCAACCCAAAGCCCAUCGUUUUCCCUCCGUCCCUCCCCUCUCCAUUGCCGCCGCCGCUCCCCUCAUCCGAGCUCGAUACGGGUGGUCGGCGGCCCCUCCUCUCCGCUCCCGCCCCCGGCCUCCCUUUGACCGCCGGGCGCCGGCAUCACUGCCGCGGCCAACCCCAGGGCGCAGCGCGUGCCUCUAUUUCUCUCCCCCGUUCAAGGGCCCUUUGAUGGCGACGAGCACCCACCCACCAGGUAUGCCCUCCCCUUCUCUUCCUAACCCUAAUAUAUUCGGAUCUCACCCAGUCACAAUAUAUUACCUAAUAGCUUCGAUUUUGUUUGCAAAAAUCAUCACGUGCGCACCCAUGUCCGCUAGAUUCUUGCGCCUGAUCCUGUGCUGCUAUGGUUUGGGCGGGGUAGACUAGUUGAUUCGUGCACUUUUGGGUGCUUGUAGUGCUAGGUUUUGGAGGGGGAUAGCCCAGUUGAUUCCUCCGUUUUGGGUGCUCAUGGUGAUAGGAUUUGGAUGGGGAUAGCCCCAAUGAUUCGUGCGCCUUUGGGUGCUGGGGAUAGUUUUGGGUGCCUGGAUAGUCCAGUUUCAAUGUCAGUAUAUGCGUAUUUUGGGGAGAAUUUUGUUUUGGGUGGUUCUGGUGCUAGAGUUUCUGAUGCUUAGUAGCCCAGUUUCAAUCAAAUUCCCCCAUGGGUCGUGCACUACGGGAAACAAGAAAAUUGCCGAGUGUAUUUUUUUUGUCGAGUGUUUUUUUUCGAGCACUCAGCAAACAAGCUCUUCGCCGAGUGCCAAGUCAAAAACACUCGGCAAAAAAAAACACUCGGCAAAUCGGGGCUUUGCCGAGUGUCAAAUAAAAAACACUCGGCAAAGAAGGGGGUUUGCCGAGUGUUAAAAAAAACACUCGGCAAACAGGAGGGUUUGCCUAGUGUUUUUUUGACACUCGGCAAAAAAAUAAUUGUUUUUCCUCUUUUCACCUUGAAAUUUUUUCUACUCCCCACAUACAACACGUGGUACUCCAUGUUAAAAUUUGGUAUAUUUUUGGAUUUAUUUGCUAUAUUUAUUUAAUUAAUUGCAUUACAAGGAAAUUUUUGGUAUAAGUCAAAUUUGAACUGCAAGUGAUUCAAAUUGUGGAACAAAAUGAGUAGAAAAAUGAUAUUCAUGUUAUUUGGCUCAAUUUGAGACCUGACCCAUGAAAUGAAAAGAAAUUUCGAACAUCUUGUUCAGGAAACACGACAAUGAACAUGUGGCGGUAGUAUUUUUAAAUUGUAAAAAAAACAAGCAAAGUCUGAAAAUCAUGAGAUUUGUAGUUAUGUGAUGAUAUAAUACGUGGAAGCUGUGGAAAAAAAUUGGAAAGGUUUUGCACAUUUCAUCAUGUACGAUGAUUACAAACCGAAGCAUAUCAGAAGAAGAAUAGUAACUUUGAGAAGGAUUCGAUAAAAUUUAGAGUCGAAGUGACGGUCGAGUUCGGUUUGACUACAAAACUUUUUGUAUAGUCAGUAGAGAACAUAUCUUAUUUCGUGUGAAAAUUUGGUAUUUUUUGAAACUGUUGGAUAUUUUUAAUUUUUUUUUAAAAAAACUUUGCCGAGUGUCCUAGGGUAGACACUCGGCAAAGAAAAACUUUACCGAGUGCCCGCCUAGGACACUCAGCGAACCUUUUUUUAAACCUACCGGCUCCGGCCGGCCCAGCCCACAAACACCACCCGCCCCCCGCCCCCGCGCCUUCUUCCUCACGCCGCCCCCGCCCCCCACCCGUGCCUCCGGACCGCCCCCUCCUCCCCCUGGCCUCCCCUCACGCCGCCCCCCUCCUCCCCUAGCUCCCUCCACCGGCGGCCCUCCCUCCCCCGGCGCACAUCCUCCACUCCUCCUCCCCUUCCCUUCCCUCCCCUCCCCUCCCCUCUUCCUCCCCUGGCCGGAUCUGGCGCCCCUAGCUCCCCUUUCUUCCGCGGCCAGAUCUGGCGCCCUCCCGGCGGCGGGUCGUGGCGAUCGGGGCGGCGGCGGCGGAUCAGGCCGCGGGGCGGCGGCGGCGGCGGGUCGUGGCUACCGGGGCGGCGCCCUGCCCCUCCCCUCCCUCUCCAUCUCCGGCUGCCGUCCACCCCCUCCCCGGAUCCGCCCCCCUCCCCUCCGCGCGGCCAGCCCCUCCUCCCUCUCCGGCCGCCGCCCCGGCCCCUCCUCUCCCUUUCUCCGGCCACCGCCCCGCCCAUCUUCUCUGGAUCCGGCCGGAUCCGGCCGCCGCACAGCCCCUCCUCCCCGGAUCCGGUGGGCGCGGACUUCGUGGUGGUGGCGCCGGAUCCCUCCCCUCCCUCUCCAGAUAACUCCCUCCACUCCUCCGCUCUUCCCCUCUCUCGCGCGGCGGCCUCUCUCCGGCCGCCGCCCCGCCCCUCUCCCCGGAUCCGGGGGGGGGGGGACUCCGCCCCUCUGCCCCGGAUCCAGCUCCCCGACCCGCGAGUGGGGCGAGCUUGCUCAUGCGGUCGACGUCGAGGCCAGGGUGUGGUGGAGGUGGUGGCCGGCGGGUGUGGUGGUGGUGGCGGCGGCGGGCAUGGCGGCGCGGAGGCAAGGCACGGCGGCCGGUGGGAGGCACGGGUGCAAGGCGUCGACGGCAGGAGGCAAGGCACGGCAGCAUGGGAGGUGGUGCUGUGGUGGUGGUGCUGGCGGUGGUGGCGGCGGCGGAGCAGGAUGUGGUGGUGGCGGAGGAUGUUUUUUUUUCAAAAAUUUGUUGCCGAGUGUUUUCUCGGCACUCGGCAAAGACUUUACCGAGUGCCCGACACAAAACACUCGGCAACUCAGUGUUUGCCGACUGAAAAAUUGCCGUGUGCCGUUUGCCGAGUGUUACACUCGGCAAACGGUUCGCCGAGGGUUUUUUGCCCUUCGCCGAGUGCCCCUAGCACUCGGCAAUUUCACUAUCUCCCGUAGUGGUGGCUGGACUUAUGGGGGGAUCAUUGAUGGGGGACUAGUUGGAUACUUUUUGGCUGUUUUGGGAGUCCUUGGCAGCGGCUUCUCAGGGCGUACGUAGCCCAUUGUAGAUUCCAGCCGAGAAGAUUAAGGAAUUGUGACUGCAACCAUGUUACUUUUCUAGGACUCUGUUUCUGAUAUUGUUCCCGCUGCAUCUUUUCAUCCCCAUGGUGAAUGUUGCUGUUGAUCUGUAGAUUGGAUUUGUUCCUCGGUAGCUUUAUUAGAUUUGUGCUGAAUGAUAAUCUCUGCCUGUGAUAUUUUUCUUCAUUGCGGAUGUGUGCCGAGUAUUAUCCCCUUUGUUCAUUCUGUUGGCUUUUUUUAUUGUCUCUGUACUCGGCUGUUCAGCUUGUGCAGCUAAUGAUCUAAUGUAUUUUGUCGUAACUAUGUAUUUUUCGGAUGUGUGCCGAGUAUUAUCCCCUUUGUUUAUUCUGUUGGCUUGCUUUCAUUGAUCUUAAGAUAACUGGUGCUAUAAAUUCACACUAGCUGAUGCACUUGCAAAUAGCUAUGUAAAUAUGAAAAGAAGUAUUUUUUUAUCCUUUUGUUUGUUUGGCAUCAUAUCUGUUUAAAUGGCAUAGCAAUAAGAAUUUUUUGUUUUUGGGGAAUCAUAUCUGCUUAAAUGGUAUAGAAAAUGCUGAGUGCACUGUCAAAUAGAUUUUCCAGCAGUCUGCUUUCAGUUGUUUUUGCAAAUCCUCACAGGCCAGUGAACUGACUUUGUUUUUACCACCCCAUGCCAUUUAAAUGACUAAAUCAGUCAGCCUAAUACUAUAUAUGGUCAUGCUAUGAUCUUAUUUCUUGAAGCUCUAUAGGUCAACCCAUAAGGGUAACUUAGUUUUUCCUAUUCUGGCUGGGGAAGUGGAUACGAUGGCUAUCCUUGGUAGAGUUAAAUACAUUGGCGGCUCUUAGCGCGCCAAUGUGGCACCACAAUAUCGAACAUAUGUAGAAACCCCCUUGUUUUUUCUCAUAUCCCUCUCUCUCAGCGUCCUCUUCUCUUCUUCUCCUCUGUCUCCUCCCCUCCCAUCGCGUGCUUUAUUGCGCCGCCGCCAUCCGCCUCCAUGUAUGAACACGUCGUUUGUCAUGAAGAAGCAGUUGAUGAGGCAAUCAAGCAUGUGGUGCACAAGGUUCUUCUGCUGGCCAAGUCCGAGUCGAACAGCCGCGCAUUCAUUGGGGAAGCACGCGCCAGGCAUCACCAGGCUCCUCGUGCCCCUACUCUGCUCCAAGGACUCGGUGCUUCGACGCGCUGCUUUCCCUGUCCGGCGAGCGGGGAUCGUUGGGAGAUGAUCGAUGGAGGAUGGAGCUGAUCCUCCUGUACACGGUGCCGGUGGGGAGCAGGGAGCUGCGGAGCAGGUCCACGGGCGGCGCCAUUACAGCAGGUGCAGGCUAAGGGUAAUGAGCAGAUCGAGGCGAUGGAGGAGGACCCGCACGAGGUGCAGCUUCUUCGCCUCCUGCGCAAAGUCAGCGCCCAAGCAGCCGCUGAGGGACAGGCCGAGGCUUAGCUCGAUCUCAUCCGACUAAAUGGUGGCUGCACUCCCACAGUCCCACUGGUGCUCCUCCCUUCUGUCCGAACCUGCCGAGGAAAUCCCUCGAUGCCAUGGGUCCCGGCUGGACGACUACUCCUCCCACAGAUUGACUGAGGAAGAAGAGCUUCUCAGUGUCCAAAAAUUCAGUUACACUGGAAACAGCAACCAAUUACGUUCUUCCGGCUCAGCCAAGCCCCAAUCUCCUUGCUUCUGUGCGCCCCUGCUAAAUAUUCCAGAAACCAAUCUGGUUAGUUGUUUUUUCACAUUUUCAGUGCAUGCCGGUGCUGCUGUGUGCGGCAUGCAUGGAGUUGUCGUGGGAGUGCACGGUGGCUUAGCUGGUGCGCCAGUGCGCGGGCACGAACACAACGGUGAAGAUGGCAGGGCCAUCUCAAAGCUCCUGAGCACCUGCACGCGUCGCUGAGCAGGACAUGCUGCGACGGUGGGCGAGCGCUGCUAACGCCCUGGGGAAGAGCAGUGGGUGCAGAGAGAGGGAGCGAGGGAGAGGGGUUCUUGUAUAUGUUUGCUAGCGUGGCACCGUUUACGGUGCCCGCCUAAGUGGCAUUCACGUGUCAUUCAUCCCAAAUGGUGUUGCAAGGUUGAACCUAUUGUGGGAGGCUUUUGGUUUCCCUUGACAGUAUCACCAGUGAUAUCACUGCGUUCUGGUUAUGUAUGAAACACUUGUCCUUUUAAAACCUUUCUGAAUUUAGAAACGAAUUUGAAACAUUACCCUCAUUUCCAUGUUUUUCUAUCUUUUGUCCCUGUAAAAUCAAACUAAAUUUGAAUUAUUAUGUUCAGAACUACAAGCUGAUUUACUUGUCCCAUUUGCUAAUAACAGGGCCUUGUGAUUUCUAAUGAACAUUGCAGAGCAUGUUAUAAAGCGUAUGCAUGAACACCAAGGGGAUGAAACCAUUGGUAUAUUUCUCACAACCUUUUGAACUUAUCAUUUAGCAUAUUUGUGUUCUAGUGUGACGUUUCAGCCACGAGACAUGAGAAAUGUUAGCUAUGGAUUUUGGUUAUUCAUCAUGGGUUCACAGAUUUGUUUUUCUCUAAAAGAAUUGGGAAGUAGCUUUCUUUCUGGGUAUAUGUGGGGAAAUGCAUAUGCAAUCUUUUAUUUAUUGAGGUGACUGUAAAAUUCUUGUCUGACUGAAUAUGCGAUUUCAACCUACAUGCUAUACUUAGGGAAAUUUGUGAAUCUCCUAAUGUCUGCUGCAUGGCAUGAAUGCAUAUUUUACUGGUCCAUAAUGUGAAGUUCUGUAUAUAAACUUCUCGUGUUGACCCUUUAGAACAUGCUAACUGGAGAGUUUUCUAGAGUAGUUAAACAAGAGAUUUAGUUAAAUCUGCACACAUAGGUGGGGCCUGGCAUACCCUAAGAAUCGGCCUAGCCGGUCAGCCCAUUAGUAAAAAAAAAAGCACCGCAGUCAGCAGUCCCCACGUUGGUCUUCCUCGAGUCGCGACUCGCGAAGCUCCCAUCCUCCGAGUCCAAGAUGGUGGACUGUGUCGAGCGCGGGGCGGGCGAUUAGUUGCCCGGCCGCCGGCGGGGGAUGGCCGGACGGCCAGAUCGCCGACUCCUCUAGUCCUCCCUCCAGCCUCUGCGCUUCUUUCACAGUGGAGCUAGCGGCGAGGCGCCCGACCGACACCCUUCUUCCCAAAUCCCGGCAGCCCUACCUCGAUUUGGCCUCCUCCGAUCAUUUGAUAAUCAAUUUGAUGAAAUUAAUAUGGAGUUGCUUUCUUGUAUGGUUGCCUUCAAUCCUGCUAAUUCAUUUGCUUCAUUUGAUGCACAAAAGAUACAUAGACUUGCUAUAUUUUUAUCCACAAGACAUCACAAGCACGGAUUUGCUAAAACUUGAAUUCCAGCUCGAUAUUAUAUUGAUGAUGUGAGAUAGGAUGAUAGUUUCAAAGGCCUACAAGAUCUUGUUAACUGAGACUCAGUUAAGCUUGUUGAAACAAACAGGCAUAAUAUUUAUGACUUGGUUUACUUGCUUCUCAAAUUGGUAUUGGUUCUUCUUGUGGCGACAGCUAGUGUUGAAAGGGAUUUUUGUGCAAUGACUUUGAUCAAGAGUAAGCUAAGAAAUAAGAUGGGUGAUAGUCUUUUGGAUGAUUGUCUUAUCACAUUCAUUGAGAAAGAUAUUUUCUUUGAAGUGGAUGAAGAAGAUAUAAUUAAGACUUCAUAUCCAUUAGAAAUCGUAGGCUGGAGAAGAAGUAAUAUUUUAAUUUUCUUUGAACGUUAGGUCUGUAAGCUUCUUUUAAACUAUCUACAUUAUAAUUUAUGGACCUUUUAAUUUAACCGUUGAAUUCAUGAUAUUAUGAGAUUUUUUUAUCUAUGUUAUUAUUGUUUACCGAUUUAUUACCAAAUUAUUAGUUUGAUCUUACAAUAUUGUAUUUUGGAUGAUUGGCUCGGCAUACUCUAAGUUUAAAUCCUAGCUCCGCCACUGUUUGCACAUUAAUGUGGCUUAUAUGUGUGGAGUCACUUAACCUAUGCACUUGGACCUCCACUCCCUUAGGUUUUAUGAACCUAAUUUGACAGCCUGCUCGUCUUUUAUUUUCUACCAAUCAGCUAGGAACGAACAUGGUGAUGUUUGCAUCUCUGCCAUCAAUGGCUUACAUGUCAUUAUGUAUCACAUUAGCAAGUCUUGUUUUGUUAUUGGCUGGGAUGACGGGGACUCUAGCUGGAAUUGAAUCAAAGUGGUAGAUCACAGGGUAUUCAUUGCCAUGUAUUUCUGCAGUUGCAUGGACUUGCAUCAAACGGACCUUCCUACUUAUGUGAUUGUCCUAUAUGAUCUCCUUUGAUUUCAUUUGCACACUGUAAUCACAUUAGCUAGAACACUCGCUUUUUGCUUCAAAUUUGAAAUUCAUAUCAUGAUGGACUAGAACGCUGAAUUUCUUGAUUGCUGAGUUACUAAUCACAUUGUGGCGCUGCCAAAGAAGCUGGACUCUUCAUUGUUGUUGCCUUGUGGGCUGCCGUGUGCAAAGAACAAGAGCGCACGGUAUUAUAAUAGCAGAGCAGAACACAGACAAGCGACAAGGAGCGGAGCAGAGCAGAGCACAGCCAGGCACAAGCAGUAGAGUAGAGCAGAGCAACCGGGAGAGGAGAGGGCACAUAUGCAGAGUAGAGCAGAGCCAAGCGCAAGCAUUCAUGCACUCAAGCAUGCAGCAGAGGUGUAGCAAGGCAAGCACAAGCAGCAGAGCAGAGGGAAGGGAAGGCUGGGAGAUGAAUAGGCGAAUAGUUACCUGGACAGAGCAGAGGGAAUGGAGAUGAUGCAGAUGCUUCCGGAGACUCGAGAUUUGGAGAGGAACAAGGCCACGUUGUGAACAAGGUCUCCUUUCUCUUCUCUAUUUCCCGCGCAAGUACUUGUGCAUAGUGGCUGCCUCAUCCUCCAGGACGUCCACUUCAACCUGAGGCGGGUGCCACAGACAUCCUGGCUAUGCGACGGCUACCCCCAGCACACCCCCGGCGCCUAUGAACCAUGAUCCUAAUACUAUAAAUUGUCAACCUUGUAAUCUUAUUUCAAGCAUGCUCUCUAUGUCAACCUGUAAGGUUAACUUCGUUUUUCCUUUUCUGGGUAGGGGAGUGGAUAUUGCUGUUAUUUAUAUUAUGUUGAUAUUGGUUUCCACAUGUCAUUCACCCCAAAUGUGUUGCAAGGUUGAACCUAUCAUCGGAGGAAUUUUUUUCCCUUUACCUUUAUAUCACUACGCUCUGGUUAUGUAUGAAACACUUGUCUUCUUAAAAACCUUAAUUUAGAAACAAAUUUGAAACACUAUCUUCAUUUACAUCCUGUAUGUGUUUUCUACCUUUUGUCCUAUAUGAUCUGCUUUGAUUUGAUUUGUGCAUAGUUUUUUCAAUUCAGACCUGGUGAUUUCUGAGGUUCAUGUUGUGCUGAUAAGCAGCCUACUAUUCAGUAACACUUUCAUGUGGCAUGUUCAUGUUAGCUAGCUAGAAACACUGCUUUUAGCUUCAAAAUUCAAAUUCAUGACAUGAUGGACAUUGACAAUGAAUUUCUUGAUUGCCGAGCUAUGUACACUGUAAUUCAGACCUGGUGCUUUUAGUUUUUUUCUUGAUUGCCGAGCUAGAAACACUGUGCUUUUAGUUUUUUCAAUUCAGACCUGGUGAUUUCGGUUUUUUCAAUUCAGACCUGGUGAUUUCUGAGGUUCACGUGUCACACCGAUUUUAAGAACAAAAUCGAGUGCAUUAAAUAUACAUGUACGCUAGGAUCAGGUUACACACAUGUACGACAUAAGCGAAUAUCAAAGACAAUGCCAUAACGAAAUAAAGAGAGUAUUAAUCAUUAUUACAUGACCGAAAGUCUCAAAUAAACCACAAAAUCUAUUUAUUACAUAGCGGAACUUCUAAGAUAGCAACGUCUCCACAGGCAGCUGACUGAAGAACUGUAUGCCUAGAACUCUUCAAAAUCGUGCAGGUACUCCUCCAGAUUAGCUUGGUAUGAACAACGGUUUUGCAAGGGUGAGUACACUUAUGGUUGGUACUUAAUAAGUCGUGGGAAACAAUGUAGUGUAAGGCAAAUCAAGGUAUGGCUAAGGCUUAAACAGCAUCAGCUUUUAAUUUAGUUGGUCAAAUUUUAUUAGCAAUUAAUUAGACGUAAAUUUAUACCACCCGAAAUUAAACAAGAACAUGAAUAAAAUAAUAACAUAACCAUAAAUGAAAUGACAACAAUUUAAAUCCAUCUUUUCAUAGCAUUAUCAUGUGAGGGUCCAGUCCGUUCUUAACCGUGAGCACCGCUGAUCGAUCAGUUUUACACUCUGCAGAGGUUGUACAUCUUUACCCACAAGUCGCGUAAAAGUUCAAAAGAAUUUUGGACCCAACCAUGCGGUAUUUGCAAGGCACCAUACCACACUUCCAAGGUGUGAUUGCAUAUGAACGCUACGAGGCCUUUACAAAGAUUCAUUAGUAAGUGGUAACCCGCUAAGGUUUCGGUAUUUGGCGUGCACAACCUAUCACAGGCCGCUAAUGCAACGACUCAGUCCCCCCUCUUGCCUCAUCACGAGUAAGAUUACCCCAGACUAAGGUUUCUAAUUAUUCAGCCAAGAUCAGAACCAUUUAGUCUUGUGGUAGCACUGUUUUCCUGGGUGGUUCUCCAUGUUCCGAUUAAACAUAAUGGUCUUGUAUUAAUGGAAGGUAUAACAUAAAUAAUACCAAAUUAAUAAUAAUUCAGAUUAAAUCACCAUAACCAUAUUUGAGCACUAAGCAUGAGCUACCCAACAUAAAUUUAACCCGGUUGGUCAAGGCAAGGUAGAUAAAGUCUAGGAAAUUCUUAAUUGGGACCCAUCAAGUUUAAAUUAUACUUUGCAUGGUAUGUUGCAUAGAACAUGAAAGUAAAUGUGAAUAGGACUGAAAAGGAGUGAUUAGGGACACGACUUGCCUUUUUAACCUUGUUCUUGCUGUUCGUACUCUUCGAAAACUUUGAUCUUCAAAUCCCUUGAACUGCUGACCGUCUACACGCGUCACACGACCACAUACAAGCAAACAAAUAUAAUACAUAAGAAAACAGUACACCAAUCAUAAUUAAAUAGAAGAAACAAAUUUGAAAAGCUAUUCUACGCAUUAAAACGAAAACACGGAUACAAGGAACGUUAAAAACGGAGCUACAGUGCAAAAACUACGCUUAAAACAAGAUGCAGGGGUAUAACUACGAGAAACCAAACUUCCAGGGAUUUAAUUUUAAAUAAUUUUGAACUGCAGAAGGGGCAGCAGGGCAAAACGUAGAAAAUGCAGGGGCUUAAGCGCAAAAGCAUGGCUGCUGACUCAGCUGACUUGAUGUGGAUCGUCGGAUGGCGAUCCGGCGGCCGGCAGCUGCUGCGCUGACGUCAGCGACGGCGAGCGCCGGCGAAAAACGGCAGUUCGCCGGAAUCGCCCGGGAACGCGCGACUGGGUGCAGAUUUGAGCGAGGAUUAGACUAGCAGAUAGAAACGAGCGCAGUGAACUCAUUUGGGAUGCCUACGGCGAGGACUUGGCGACGGCAUCGGCUCCGGCGAGAACUUGCGGCAGGGAAACCAAAUAAAAUAAAAUAACACGGUUCAGAGAAGCGGCGCUGGAGGAACGCGAGCGAUUUUGCGUGCGAGCGGAAGAAAACACUGCGAGGAAGAUGACUGCGGGCCCUGCUUGUCUGCGGCAGGAGGAGAGCUGCGUGCGAGAAGAACCUGGCCACGAUCUGGGCCGUUGCCUUCGAUCUGGGCCGAGGCAAGCUAGCUGGCCCGCUGCUGCGGAAAGGUGCUGGGCCACGGGCGGAGCACAGCGUCGGGCCAGAAAGGAGAUGGCUGCUGCGAGGAAACAAAAGAAAAUGAACUGGGCUGCGACAGAGGAAAACUGGGCGUCGGCCAGAAAGAAGCUGCGUGCAGCUUGCUCUUGUUUCCGAACUAGAAACAGGAACUGACGGAAAGACAGAAAUCAAUUGGAGACUGAAACUGACGCCCCAGACUCUGAACUUCGAAAAAACAGGACAACCAGCCAACUGACAGAAAAAAAAAAGCUUAACAACCCAAAAGCAGUACACAACCACGAAACCAGGCCACAAGACUGAAAAAGCUUGAUAGGAACAUCUGGCGACUGAACCAAAAAACUACAGAACUGCAACUGAAGAACUAGAGAACAGAUAAAUAACUGAUUGAACUCUGAAACUGAAACACCAAAGAGCAGGAAGCUGACUGACGGAAAAUGCAAAACAGCAACCCAAGGUGAAACACAAAUUCUUCUUCAAGCAUUCAAACAAAGAGAUAUGCAACAGCAUGAAUGCUCAAUAAAAUCCUAUAUUUCAUUAAUUAAUUAGAAAAAAUGCUCAAAUGCCUAGAAAAAUGCAAAAGUGACCUUAUAUGCCUUAAACAAGCAAAUUCGUUUCUAGCGAUUUUUGGUAAAAUGCAAAAUUAGAGAUUUUGGGUGUUACAUCAUGUUGUGCUGAUAAGCAGCCUACUAUUCAGUAACACUUUCAUGUGGCAUGUUCAUGUUAGCUAGCUAGAAACACUGUGCUUUUAGCUUCAAAAUUAAAUUCAUGACAUGAUGGACAUUGACAAUGAAUUUCUUGAUUGCCGAGCUAUGUACACUGUAAUCACAUUGUGGGGCUGAUAAAAUAAGCAGCGUUGAGACACAUAACAAUUGAAUCUUAAGCUUCACACAGAAUCUGGACCAGUCAUCCUCAUUCCUGUCAUGCUGGAAAUGUCUUUGAUACAUUUCAAUCACAGGCAAUUGAAUUCGUACUGGGGAGGAUGGCAAUGGUGCAUGAAGAGAGAUCAAUGUGGCAAAUCUCACAUUGUUCAUUACCAGGUAUCUCCGAUUUCUGGUUAUUUUAAAUUUACCUUGACAUGUGACUUAUUGAGGUAUUGUAUUUCAUCUAAUGGUAGUUCUGAAUUUAUGGUAACCUUGGAUGGGGUUUGUCACUUUAUACACGCACGGACUUACAAAGGACAGCAAAUGAGUAUAUUUAGAGGGCUCCUGUCCAACCAUGGACUAUACUUAUGUACCCUUUUUUGACAUGGUAAUUUGAGGUUAAUGGAAAAGUAGCGAUAGUCGCCUCCAGCGAAGCUACCUUCUUCGAAAGCUCCGAGGCUGCUUUCUCGCUCUUAGCAAGCCGAUCCCUCGUAAUCAUCGAAGAGUAAGAGACCUACAGAUUUUAAAAACCAAGUUACCAAAAAUAACGAAGUAAAAGACAACACUCGCAAGACAAACCACCAAACUAUCUCAUAAUUGUACCUUCUUUACGAGGUUCGCCUCCAAGUUAAAGAGCUCUUCCAAGAUCAUUGACUUCACAGCUUGCUGAAAAUCUAUGCGCCAAAGGAUAUAGUCGUAAGCAUAAAAUAAAAAUUGGUAAAAACCAAGGACAGCAAAGCCAUCUACAAGCUGUUCUUACCCUCAUACUUUCGCACCUCAACGGCGAUCGGAACAACCUUCUCUCUAGCCUCGCCCUUAGACGCCACCACAAUCUUCCCGCCACACAAAUCCACAACCCCUCCUUUACCUUUGCCCUCUCCCGAAGUCGUCGUGCCCGCCUUCUCCACCCUUUUUGAACCGCCAACAUCUGCAUAGCGCUCGCAACCUUCACCUUCAGCCCCCCAGACCAAAGACAGGUUGUGAGGAUUAUAAACCCUACCUUCGGCGCAUGUAGCUAGAAUCUCCGUGCGCCCGCUCAAGCCCAGACACUCAUUCAGUCCCUGAAGCCCCGCCGGCAACCUCUCACCUACAUCAUAACAUUCAACUUUUAGCCUCACAUGAUCCUCACAACUAACCUUACCAACGCCCCCCAUAGUUUCUUCCAAGUCCUUCAAAAAUUUCGUUGAGGCCUCACCACAAUCAAAGAACCGUAGCAUCGAUAGAAACACCUCUACAUGCUUACCAGAUCUCACAGCUUCGGCACACCCACCCUUUGGAUCAGAUGAGAACGCAUCCACAAGCUUCGCCUUUUCGGUGGCAAACCCCCUCUCAAGUUUCCCAACAUCAGUCAAGAGAUGUUGCGCGCUCUUAAACUUCGAGCUUAUGGAAGGCACCGUGAUCUUGGUACCAGCUGCCGAAGACGCGUCAACCUUGGCACCCGUAACAGUAACAGGAGCAAAUCGAGGUUUCUUGGCGCCUCUUUUGAUCCGUGCGGCGGGCCCGGUGGAUGAAGGUGCAAGAGCUGGAACCUCCUUAGGAGGGCGCAUAGAGACAGGAACAACAUAUGCCGGAUUGCUCAAGUCGCCAGACGAAGCUGUCGACCACGAUGGCAACAUAGCAGACGAAGCCCCCGCGGUCAUUUCCUUCCUUUUUUGCGCCUCCAAAUUCAAGGUCUUUUGCUUCGCCUUAGCGGUCACUUGCAAUUCAAUAGUGAGCUUCACCAUGGGUACGAAGUCAAAUUUUGCCUUUUUCCUCUGCUCAAGACUAGCACCGCGACGGCGCCUCUUGCCCGUAACUUUGGGGUGAGGCAGAACCACAAUAUCAUACAAGUCAAAAAUCUAAGAUGAUGACAUUCCAUUUGUAUCCAUGAUUUAUAUUGUGUUCCUUGAAUAUCCAUUAAAGUCUACUUGAAUUGAUUUGCAAUUAUGUGAAUUGUAUGUGAAACUCUUUCCUUGUAUGGUUAUUCUAAAGUUGUCCCUAGUCGGAGUUCAUGUGAGGACACAUGAAUAUUAGACUAGCACAUGUAUUAGUUGAUGACUAUGUUUCACAAGUCAUGGACAUGAAGAUGUGGAACUAAUAAUGUGGGCACAUGUGGAGACACGUGCUAGGACUGACCCAACACGAGAAGUAGUUCUCUCUUUAUACAACAUAUACGCUUUGUCCUUAGACCUGAGAUUGUCGCAUGUACUCAAGAUGUGGAUCGACUUACUUAGGGGCUAUCAAAUUCUACGCCGUAACAGGGUAGUUAUAAAGGUAGCUUUCGGGUUUGUCAAGAAGCAUGCUAUGAGACAUGGUCAAUCAAGAUGGGAUUUGCCCCUCUCUGAUUGAGAGUGAUAUCUCUGGGCCCCUCGAGUGAUCGGAUCCGAAAAUGCAUGGCCAUGCUACAUACGAUUAAGAGUUAGCCUACAAAAGGAUUCCGAAUCAUAGGAUCGAGAAAGAGCGGUCGGCUUGAAGCUAGACCAAAUAUCGUGAGGCAAAGGGAAUAGCAUGUAUAUAAUGUUGUGAUGGUUCGUCUGAUAUGAUCUUCGUGUGCGUAUAGGAGUUGGCACGUCUUGCUAGAGGUCGCUACCGACUAUUGGGCCGAGUAGGAGUACUCAGGCCAUGUCUAUACGUAUCCGAACCCAUAGGGUCACACACUUAAGGGGCUGGAAGCCCAAUUCGGAUGUGAUCCGAAUUGGAUUAGGUUUAGAAGUACUAAUGGGCCUUGGACCUAGAGGCCCGUUAGGAACCUCUAUAAAUAGAGGGGUGGGGGCGCCCUAGGGUUUACACCUUUUUGGUGAAACACAUCUGCCGCGCCUCCCACGCCUUCGCCUGUUGCAACUCGCGGACCUAGCAGUCCGGCUUGCGACGCUUCCUCCCUGCACGUGUGGAUACCUUGGAAGUGUUGCUCCUGCAGCACUUGGACGAGCCGCCAACGAGCCACGACGAGCCACGAUGAGCCGACGAUGAGCCGCGGCACGAGGGGGAUCUUGCUGCACGUGGACGAGCUGCUGAGGAGCUGCUGGACGUCGAUGUGUUCGACUACGUACGACUACGCUGAUCGACUUCGCUGCAUCAACGCGAAUCUACAUCUUCCGCAUCAUUGCAUCGAGUGGUAAUCCCGUGAUCCUGAUACGGCAGUUUUCCUAGUUUACGCGGUAGAAAAUUUUGUUUUGUGCUAGUGUAGCCUAACUCAUAUCCCAACAACGUGUGCUAUAGGUCACGCAAGCCUGAAAAUGGCCACACCGGACACCGGGUACGAAAACAUGGGGGAUGGACCGAACAUUUGAAAAUGGCCUCCAUAUGUGUUUUCGGCUAUGAAAAUGUGUGUUAUAGGUCACAGAAGCUUGAAAACGGCCGCACCAGCCACUAGGGACGAAAACGUGGGGGAUGGACCAAAGACAUAAAAAAUAGCCUCCAGACGCGUGUUCGGCCAUGAAAACGUGUGGUAUAGGUCCUGGAAGGCCAAAAACAGCUACACCGGCCACCUGGGACGAAAAAGUUUGUGUAAGACCGAACACUUGAAAAUAGCCUCUGGACGCGUGUUCGGCUAUGAAAAGGUGUGUUAUAGGUCACACGAGCCCCAAAACAACCACAGCGAACACCAGCUACAAAAACAUGGGGGAUGGAUCGAAUAAUUGAAAAUGGCCUCCAGACGUUUGUUCGGCCAUGAAAUCGUGCGUUAUAGGUCGCGGGAGCCCGAAAACGGCCACACCGGCCACCGGGAAUGAAAAUGUGGGGGAUGGACCGAACAAUUAAAAAUGGCCUCCGGAUGUGUGUUCGGCCAUGAAAACGUAUGUUAUAGGUCACGGGAGCAUGAAAACGGCCGCACUGGCCACUGGGGACGAAACGUGGGGGAUGGACCGAAGACGUGAAAAUAGCCUCCAGACGCAUGUUCGGCCAUGAAAAUGUGUGCUAUAGGUCAUGCAAGGCCAAAAACAGCUGCACCAGCAACCGGGGACGAAACCAUGGCUGUCAAACCGAACGCUUGAAAAUCGCCUUCGGACGCGUGUUCGGAUAUGAAAACAUGUGUUGUAGGUCACGCGUGCCCGAAAACGUCCACAACGGACACCGGGUACAAAAACGUGGGGGAUGGAUCGAAUAACUGAAAAUGACCUCCGAACGCGUGUUCGGCCAUGAAAACGUGUGUUAUAGGUUGCGGGAGCCCAAAAAUGGCCACACCGGCCACCGAGGAUCAAAACGUGGGGGAUUGACCGAACAAUUAAAAAUGGCCUCCGAUUGUAUGUUCGGCCAUGAAAACGUGUGUUAUAGGUCAUGGGGGCCCAAAAAUGGCCGCACCAGCCACCAAGGACGAAAAUAUGGGAGAUGGACCAAAGACAUGAAAAUGGCCUCCAGAUGCAUGUUUGGACAAAAGUGUGUGCUAUAUGUCGUGCAAGGCCAAAAACAGCUACACCAGCCACCGGGACAAAAACGUGGGUGUUUGACUAAACAAGUGAAAAUGGCCUCCGGAAGCAUGUACGGCUAUGAAAAUGUGUGCUAUAGGUAAUGGAAGGCUAACAAAAGCUACACCGGCCACCGGGGACAAAAUCAUGGGUGUCAGACUGAACACUUCAAAAUGGCCUCCGGACGCGUGUCCGGCUAUCAAAACGUGUGUUAUAGGUCAUGCGAGCCCGAAAACAACCACACUGAACACCGGGUACAGAAACAUGGGGGAUGGACUGAAUAACUGAAAAUGGCCUCUAGACGCGUGUUCGGUCAUGAAAACAUGUGUUGUAGGAUGCGGGAGCCCGAAAACGGCCACACCGGCCACCAGGGCAUGGACCAAACAAUUGAAAAUGGCCUCCGGAUGUGUGUUCGGCCAUGAAAACGUGUGUUAUAGGUCACGGGAGCCCAAAAAUAGCCGCACCGACCACUGGGGAUGAAAUCGUGGGGGAUGGACCGAAGAUGUGAAAAUGGCCUCCAGAUGCGUGUUCGGCCAUGAAAACGUGCGCUAUAAGUCAUGUAAGGCUAAAAAUUGCUACACCGGGACUAAAGCAUCCCCCAUGAGUUACAAUAAAAGGAUUGUAUCCUCUACUCAGUCGGAUGUACUGUGUAGGUGAGAUGGUAAGGAAGCUAUGCGCGAGGUUUGAGGUUGUGGGUUGAAAUCCUACGCACCGCGCGCACACGCGCAUAUUUUGUGUGAAAAAUCAUGUGACUUGUGAUCGGCCAAGGAGAAGUGGGUGCAGCUGUGGCUUAAGUGGCUGAGGCACGCUGCCAUAGACAUCUCCGAUUUGCUCGAAGACUACCAAGACACUAGCAAUAACAAGAACUACUGCUCUUCCUAGCAGACUCUUUACAACCACUUUAAAGCUGUGCAUUUCUCAAUGUAAUUUCGUAGAAGGCAAUCGAUCCAACCAAGCGACUAAAUCAUUUGUUCUUGCCAAUGAUGUACAUCAGGUUUUCUAUAUGAAGGACAUGUCUAGCAAACCUAAGAUUUUAGAAGAAAAAGAAAAAUUAUGGGAGUCAAUAAUAAAUCAGGCCAAUCAGGAGAUUAUAGUAAGCUCGAUGGUAUGCCUCCAUUCGAUGUCGAAGUUGGCCCAAGCAUCAUGUUAGCCAAAGAUCAAAUGUUCGUGCAUUGCUACGGUAAAGAUCAAUUGUGUCUUUUAAACCCAUGGAAUUUUUUAUCUAUGUUUUUAUUACACUUAAUGGAUGUCUACACAUUUGCUAGAAAAUCAAAAUAAUUUUGACUUAAUUAUUUCUUUCAACUCAAAUACUCAUUAAAUUUCUACCUUUUUAUUUAAGCAAGAGAGUUGCUCAAAAAAUGGAUACGUAACCAUGUUGUAUCAUACAAAGCAACCACAUUUCACAUAUAGUCUGGCUUAGCAAACACCAUUGUUGUCUUAACAUAGUGUUCAUGAGUUAGUAGACAUGGAUCUAUUUCUAAUUGCAAGUAGUGCAGCGUACAACCAGCCUGCACCGCCGCAGCUCAAUAUGCGAUAAUUUUUUAUCUUCCCAUGUAAUUUUUCUACUCUAGUACAUAUUGAACUCCACAUAAAUGUCAUGUUCUUUCACGCCACAGACGGUUUCUAAAGUUUGGAACUAAAUAGAUAGCCAAAAAUUUUAAAAAAAUAUUUAUAUGGAUACAUGUAUGUUCUUUGCAAACUAACAAUAUUGUUUACAAUAUCAAAAGGAAUAUGGCUAUGAUCAUUGCCGCAUAUGGCAGGUGAUGGUAGAUGCCGUAUGGGGUUUCUUUAACUUAAUUGUAUAAUAAGCUGAAAUACAUUUUCUAUUUGCAAAUGAAUCAUAGCUGAAAGUGGUGGGAUUGUAGAACCGCCGGCCAUCGUGUCCUUGUAGGACCGCUGCACGAGCCUGUGAGCCACCAGCCACCAUGCGCCCAAGGGCCAUCACCACGCCAUAAGAGGAUGCUGUCUACCCGGUUUCGCGCGCCUGUGCUAGCUGCCUGAACCUGGGCCGCCGCCGGUCGCCUGCCCAGCCGCGCGUUGCGCCAGGGUUUUGCUGGUGACGACCAUGGCCUUCGCGAUCAAAUUAAAAAGUUAUCAACUGCAAAGUAUUAGGUCUCGUUGAGCUCUACAAUUUUGAUAUAAAGUUUCUAUUCAUCCGAGAUCAAAUAAAAAAUUUGAUACUCAAAGCAUAAAUCCAUUAAUCUAGUCUUGCUAAUCCUUACCACCAAAUAAAAAACUAGCAUGUGUUGUGUGUUUGUGACCCUAAACGAUCACAAAUGAAUAACUUAUGGGCCUUGCUAGCGCCCGGAUGUCCAGGCCGGGGCACUAGCAUCAGACCCACGAGUAGCCGUCCGAUCAGGUUCGACACCACUUCAGGAUCUGGCUUAAAAAGAAGUCCCACCGAAACAUUGUUCCAUGUUGCAUGAAGCAACCCACUACCGUCGCCAGGUCUAGAGCAAGCACCACCUUCAAAUGUGCUGCUCACCCUAGCUAAAUAGGGGCAUUAAAAUAUUUCUCGCAUAUCCUUCUCAAAUUAAACAAAAUCGCAACAUCUGAAAAUUUUUACAGAAAACCAUGAAACAUAUCGAUUAGAUAGAUGUAACAAGAUGGAAUAUGGUAUAUGCAACAUAUAGGUUCCGAAAAGCAGAUGAAAUAUUAUGUAAUGAUUCUUGAAACAGUCAAGAAAAAUAGAUGUAACAUCUAAAAUUAAGAAAAGAAGCUUUAUGCAAAUUGCAAAAAGCUGAAACAAGUGGUUGAAACAUUUCAAAUCACCAAAUGCCACAUUUGAAAUGACCAGAUGAAACAUCACGAAAUCAAUUGCAACAGUUGAAGAUGAAAACAUUCAAAUGCCUUGCCUUUCUCCAAAUUUGACCCUCCAAGCAUGAGUCCAGCCAUUUGCACAUUAGACCCUUGGGAGGAGCUCACCGGAGAACAACAAGACCGUGUUAUCCAACAAUUUUCAGAUCAAAUUGCAACAUAAAGAACAAAGCAUUGCAACAUCUGGCAUCACGAGCUACAACAGCAACCAGUUAGGAUCAGGAGAAAGAGGGCAAACACAAGCCUAACAAUGAGUUAUAUCCGGUUUAAACAAGGAUAAAAAUGAGUGUAUUUUACACUCAUCAUGUUGUCUUUUCGCAGCUGUACCGCCUUUAGCGUGUUGUAUUGUUCCUAACACCAAGUCUCCGAGGCCCGAAAAAAUAAGGAAAGUGGUAGCAGCUCAGAAAUCGACUAAGUUUCUUUCCCCCUUUGGCUUUCCUACUAGGAUUCGGAAUCCUCUUUCGUAUGACAAUCUUAAUGAUCUCCCAUAGUCCAAAACUCACAAAAACAUCAAAAAUCCACCGAGAAUAAAUUAAGUAAAAAAACAUGCACACACAGAUAAUAAUAGUAAUCAUGUUUCAUUAUGAUUGCUAAGGUCAGACACAAUACAUAAACAUAUUAGACUGAGUGACCCACCUCACCUCAGAGUAUGCACCAUGUCUGAGUGACCCACCUCACCUUGCCAGGACACUGGUCCUGCCCUCGUGGUUCACGCGCCCUCGUGGUUCAGCAGUGGUCAGUACACAAAUCUAGCUGCCAGUCGGAUCCAAGGGCAGGCAUUUGCAUUGUGGUUGUGUUUGAACAUGGAGAUGUCAUUAUUAUUGUCAGGCACCAUACAUCCUCUCUCAGUUUCACUCCGCCUCACACACGGAUAGCACACCAGGGACCCGACACCAUGCAUGCCGAUUUCAUAUUAUUAAUAUUUAAUUUUUUUAAUGGUUGUUGAAACUAUAUUGUUGAUAUUUUUAUACAUAAUUUACGACCUAAUUUGGAUAUAUUUUUGAAAUAUUCCGAAAUCUUAAAUUCACACGUCUAGAGAUACAGUUAGUCCAAUCUGAUGUUUCCGAUUAUAAAAAUGAACAUAAAGAGAUAGGAAGCGAGAGACGUGAGGGGGAAAGUUAAAUUAGGGCCUAAGGGGUGAAGUUAGGGUUCCAGGUGAGCUGUCAUCACUACGUGUUUUUAAUCGAAAUUGGAAUGUCAGCAAUCGUCAGAUCUUGAGCCAACAGUUGAGACUGCCUCGGAAUGGUAAUUAGGUCUGCGCGAGCUUGCAUUGUGGCCUUCCUUGAAACCUUGGACAUAGGUGUUAUAUUAUUAUGUUCUUGCCAGCACACAGCAGUGAAGGACGACACAGUUGAGAUGUGCAUCACAUUUUCUAUAUGAAGGAUAUGUUUAGCAAACCUAAGAUUUUAGAAUAAAAAGAAAAAUCAUGGGAGCCAAAGCGCCACAUAGUUCUUCCAGGUAAAAAAAAAUCAUCCACUGGACCAGCACAUAGUAACGAUCCAAAAAGUCCAUAUUAAGAUUUUUUGAUAGCAGAAAAAACAUAAAAUGUCUAAUAUUUGUAGUAUUAAAAGGAAAAAUAAUAUAUUCACGUGACCUUUUUCCCGUAGCAAGGCACCGGUACGUGGUCAGACUUAAUGCACGAUGCCUAAGCAUCCAUUGGGCCUACCCUCGUGUGGAUCACGCGCAACAGGACACGGCUCACAAGCUAUGAUGUGCAGCAGUCGCUCAGAUGGCUGAAAGGUACCCUUAAUUUGAAUGGUACCAUAUAUAUAUAUAUAUAUAUAUAUAUAGUAAACAAGACAAACCACCGUUGAUACUACUUUGCACUACUUGAUACAUAUAUCUCCACCAAAAGCGAGGCACGUGGGGAGGAGAGAUAUGUGGUUGAUGGUGCGGGCACGUGGCGAGUGCACCGUACGAAAAUUUUGCUCGUGUCGGACGACUGAUGUGAAGCAUUACCCAAUCUUAAUUAUCUCCCAUAAUCCAAAACUCACAAAAACAUCAAAAAUCCGCCGAGAAUAAAUUAAGUAAACCAUGCACACACAGAUAAUAAAAUUGCUAAUAAGGCCAGAGACAAUACAUAAACAUAUUAGACUGUUCAUGACACAUAUCACGGUGGAUAGUGUCUGUGUCCUUAUUACAAGCAAUGAGAGAUGCUUGUCACCACACACACGCGCACAGAUGCACAACAUACAUAUAGUUGAGACCAACAGAUGGAUCAACUAGAGGUCACCCCAUAUGGUGAACAAUUUAUUGGAGAUAAACAUUAACAUAACUUGGCCAUAGCUUGAAGCAUAGCAACAUAUGCCUAUGAACGGCGUUCAUGCUAUCAUUUUAGGCUUGUCCGCUUCUUCCAUCUUAGCAAGCACUUCCAUUUCUACCAUCUUAGAAGCAACUGUCAAAUUGAGAUAUGGAAAUCCCAUUAGCGCAUGAGUUAAUUUUGCAGUGAAAAUAGAGUACAAGAUAUCUUCAUGAUGUAAGUAACAUGCCUGAAGUUGUGAGAUGGGAAGUGAAGUCAACAAAUUACAUUAACGGAAAUGCAUGGAAGGCCACACAUACGUAUUAGUCCAUGAUAUGCUACAAAGCUUGUAUGUACAUAUAGCAAAUUAAAUGCAUUAAUUGAAUAGAGUGAGUUUAGUGAAUUUACCAGAAUCGUCCAGAAAACAUGGGAAACAGCAAGUGUUCUUGCAGACUGCGUCGGUGCCACCCACAGCAAUACAACCAAAACAACAUGCUUUUGCCCGAGCGGCUGCGCAGCAGCCGCACUCUGCCGCGGUGGCCGAGUUAGCAUUGAGGCUCAAGAUGACCAGGCACAUGAUCACCAUCAAAGCGGUGGUAGUCCUCUUUCCCUCCAUUGCCUCCUCUUGCUGCUACCUUCCUUGGUUACCUAGCUAAGUUUAUUGGUUUUGUGUUGAGAGGUGAUUCUUGCAUUGAAUGGACGUUGCCGCGGCUGCAAUUUAUAGGCAGCUGCGCUAUGUGAUGAUAUGGACAAGGUGCAAAUGGGUGGUCCUGAUAUGGAUAAGGUGCAUGCGAAUGGCUGUCUACUUGUAUAGUGGCGCUCCAAUGUACAUACGUAUGUAUCUUAUGCAUGUAUACAGUUGAUGGAUGUACAUGUUUGUUGCACAAAUUAUUCUGAACCAACUCUUCAUAACAGGUCUUUGUUACCAAGUAAUUUUACUUUUGCACGUUUCAGCCGAGAGGCAGAAGAGAAUAUUUUACAGAGAGGGCAGAGAAGGAGGUUGGCGGAGGCGCCGUGGUAGGGUUCCCCGUGUCGCCAAGAUUUUUGCAUUUUAGAUGUGUGUAUUGAUCACUUCGUCGUGCUCGCGGGGCCCAACUCCAGGUUGUACCCCAGCAGACCACGUUCUGUUUCUCUGCCUCCAAUGAGCAUGCAUGCCUCCACAAGGACCACAAGACUUAGUAAAAAAGCUAAACUUUGCAACACGAUGUAUACAGAACGUUUUGAAAUGUACUCUCGUUAGGCAUUCACCUCCUUAACAAUCACUGCGACUGUAAAAGAGGUACAUCGACGCUAGCUAAAUAAACCACUAUAAGAUUUAGCAAGAGAUCAUUUUAUACAAUCCUGUAACGAAACAAUUUGACAAUUAUAGUGUCCAUAUAUUUUGACAAAAAAACGUUUAAAUUAUAUAAGGAGGUGGGCCCGAAAACGGUUGGAUUACAUCGAGAACGUUUUGAAACAGUUGGCGGAGCAGGAUUCUGGCGUGGAGCAUCUACAUUGUCGCGCGCGCGGACUGCCGGAGUAGGCACGCUCGACUUGUCCCAUCGCCAGCUAAAUGAUUUAGUACCGGAUGGUCUCUAGUACCGGUUGGAGCUACCGUCCACCAGGAGCUUUUCUAGUUUGGAACUGGUACUAAUGCUAAUAUUAGUAUCAGGUCAAAAACAAUCGGUACUAAGGCUAGGGAUGACACGUCAUUUUUCUAGUAGUGUGUGCAAUUGGUUUUGUAAUUAGUCUAUAUUUAAUACUUCUAAUUAGUAUCUACACAUUUUAUGUGACAGGGACUGAACUUUAGUCCGUGGAACCAAACACCCCAUAAGUAUGUUUGGUGCUGUAAGGAUUUCGGUUUUAUUUAAUUUCCUAGGCAUUUAAAUUUCUUUCUAAAAUAAGUUAAUGAAUCAUAGGAUCUCAUUGUUGUAUUCAAGCUGGUGCAUUGAUUUUGCCUAUAAAACCCGCCGCGGUCUUCGCAGCCCCCAUCAAACCCUAGCGCCCUUGCCACAAGCUCAGCACCGCUGCCGCCCGAGCUCGAGCACUAGCACCCACCCAUCGCCGUUGCCUUCCCGUCGAUGGGAUCACCGCCCGGAGCUUCGCAUCGUGGUAAGGAAGCCGCCCGUGAAGAUCCCAUGUGCUCCUAUGCCCUCUACCGCGUCCCCGAGUUCCCGGAGUUGCUAGUCUCCCACCGAGCCGACUCUCCGAGCUUCACGUCACUGGUGCCGCUCCGAAGACCUAGUUCGGUUCGCCAUGCACCUCGCUUCAUCCUGAGCUAAACCCCAUAAUGAAUGGUGGUCGGAUGCUCGCCGCCACGGCGCGUCGUCUUUUCUGUCGCCCGUGCAUUGCCUAUCCCCUUCCAGCCGAUUGCAGCUGUCCGAUCGCAAACCGGUGGCCCUGAUCGGAUACCAAGGUCAAUACCGGUCGAACCGAGCCGUGCGCUGCUUUUGCAAGAAGGCCCCUGUUUUUCUCUCUUUUUGCACCUGAGGUCCUACGCAGUUCAAAAGUAAUAAGAUCUAGGUCCUUUUUCUUUUGUUUUAGCCCGUGUUCUUUUAUAAAAUCCCGCCCACUAUUCUGUUUGGUCUUUUGACGCGUUAGACCUUCUUUUUAUAUGUUUAAUUAGGUUUUAGGUCUCGAUUUCUUUAAGUUUAGCCCUUGAAAGUUUAGUUCUCUCGCAGUUAAGCCCCUGAACCUUGUUUAGCUCAUAUCUUAAGCGUUUUAAAUCCGUUUUAACAGAUUCUUGCGCCUAUAAGUUCAUGUUGACGCAUAGAUUAGUUGACUUAUACGAACCUUGCUGAUUCAGCUCCUUGAUUGUGCUUCAGAUCUCGCUAGGGAAGAAUAAUGGAUGGGCUUUGGUUGAGCUUGUAGAUCGACUUGCAGUUGCAGUGAAUGAGCAGAGGAUUGGCAGUGAAUAAGAUCAGGCCGCUGCCCUGCUUGGUAGGGAAAAUAUCUGCUUGCUACCAAGGCCUGUGACGCAUGGACCCCAUUGAGAGUGCAUUAUUGACAAGGACUUAAAGCCAAGGGCUCCACACCUGUCAUUGAUCAGCUGUCUGCUGGGCGCUGCAAGGAGGUAGUGCAUGUUUGACAUAAAGAAGCAGGUGGCCCAGGAUUUACGAAAAAUAAGGAUCUAUUUGAUACCCUUGCUUAUAUUUAGGGGCUAAAAGUUGCUUAUUUGAAGUUGCUUAUUUUUAAUCCUAGCUGUUUGAUUGCAUGGGCUAAAGAGCAUUGAAUGAGGUGGAUAUUGUCAUGUUUGCCUCUAAUGAUUGCUUCCCAUCACAUUUCUCCCCCCUCAUUCAACGAGGGAAGGAGGUGUAAAGUGCACCUUUUAGCCCCGAUAAGUAACCCUUGUGUUGUUUACGGGCUGAACAUAAGUAGCUAAAGUUUAGCUCCAAUAAACAAGAGUGUUUGGUAUUUUUGGGGUUAAAAGGGGCUAAACUUUAGCUGCUUAUGCAUAAGCAAGGCCAUCCAAAUAGGCCCUAAGUAUGUUUGGCGUUGUAAGUAGGUUUUAUUUAAUUUCCUAGGCAUUUAAAUUUCUUUCUAAAAUAAGUUAAUGAAUCAUAGGAGUUCAUUGUUGCAUUCACGCUGGUGCAUUGAUUUUGCCUACAAAACCUGCUGCCGUUUCCGCAGCUCCCAUCAAACCCUAGCACCCCCGCCACGAGCUCCAGCGCCGCUGCCGCCCGAGCUUGAGCACUAGCGCACACCCAUCGCCGUCGCCUUCCUAUCAAUGGGAUCACCGCCCGGAGCCCGUGUCAUGGUAAAGAAGCCGCCCGUGAAGAUCCCGUCCACUCUCGUGCCCUCUACCGCGUCCUCGAGUUCACCGGAGUUGCCAGUCUGCCACCCAGCCGCCUCUCCGAGCUUCAUGUUGUCGUUGCCACUCUAGCUGCCUCUCUGAAGACCUAGAUCGGUUUGCCGUGCACCCCGCUUCAUCCUGAGUUAAACCCCAUCAUGCCACGUCAUAGUAAGGAAGCUGCUCAUGAAGAUCCCGUGCGCUCCCGUGCCCUCUACCGCGUCCCCAAGUUCACUGGAGUUGCUAGUCCACCACCGAGCCGCCUCUCCGAGCUUCACUUCACAGUCGCUGCUCCAGCCACCACUCUGAAGACCUAGAUCAGUUCGCUGUGCACCCCACCUCAUCCUGAGCUAAACCCCAUGACGAACUGUGGUCGGAUGCUCAUUUUCGAGUGAAUUCCGGCGAGAUGGUCGCCCGCCGCCGCCAUCUCCAUCGCCCAUGCACCGCCUGUCCCCUUCCAGCCGAUGUCCGAUUGCAAACCGAUAGCCGAAAUCGGAUGUGGUCACCAGGAUUAAUACCAGUCAAACUAAGCCACGCGUGCCGCUUUUGCAAGAAGGCCCCUAUUUUUCCCUCUUUUUGCACUUGAGGUCCUAUGCAGUUCAAAAGUAAUUAGAUCAAGGUCCUUUUUCUUAUGUUUUAGCCCUAUUCUUUCAUAAAAUCCCGGCUGCCAUCCUGUUUGAAAUAGAUACGGUUAUAGAUAUGCAAACAUCUGCAUAUUUCCAACCGUAUCUCUUUCGAACGGGAGACGCCUAACUAGGUUACGUGACAUACGAACAUCAUACGGAUAGAGAGGGGUAGGAUGUCUCACCUUGCUAUCCUACAAAGUGACGACUCGAGGACAGUAAUGUAGCCUCUCCUUCAAAAAAAGAACAUACUACUAUCAAGUUAAAUUUUUGACAGCACCUCCCCUGCACGUGGAGGUUUCCAUAACCUGCAUCAAAUAAAACGGCACGAUGGCUGACAACCACAUCUACAGCACCAGAAUGGCACGAUGGCCGACUUCCACAUAAAGUUCUUAUACCUUAGAUUGCCAAGUCAAACAUCCUUUUCUAAUUUCUAAAACAAAAGCCCUCCCACCUCUCUAUCUUAUACUUUCCUAUUUACUAAUUGCUUUUGUAAUUUCUAAUUUCUAUUUCAUCCUACCACCUCUGUACCCUUUUCUCAUUUCUAAUUCCAAUUUUCUAACUUGAAGAGCAAAGAUUGAUUACUAGGAGGGGUGAGGGACGCCGGCCUAGAGAGGCGAGGGGACGUCCGGCGGCGGCGGGUGCGUCGGGGGUAGGAUGCCAGGGGCGGCUGCAGGGGCGCCGGGUUGGGGGCGGCCGGGAUCGAGGGCACCAGUAGCGGGGGCACCGGGCCGGGGGCGGCCGGCGGGGCGGGACGCCAGGGCCGGGGCGACGGGCGCCGGUGGCGAGGCCGCCCGGCCGGUGGUGGCCGGCGUGGCGCCUGGGCCGGGGGGGGGGGGCGGGCGGGGUGCGGCGCGGCGCGCCGGGGCAGGGCGCCGAGGCUGGGUGGUGGGGUACGGGGCGGCGGGCGGGGGGUGGGGGGAGGGUCGGCGGCGGGGCGCGGGGGCGGCCAGCGGCGACGGCGGAGGGCGUCGGUGGUGUUUCGGAAGUGAUACGGAGGGGGUAGAGAGAUUCGUUUUCGCGGCUGAGUGUUCGAGUCAGAAGGCCGUGCGGCUUAAGUCAGGUGGUUUGCCGAGUGCGCGCGAUCUGGCACUCGGCAAAGUCAGAAGUUUUGCCGAGUGUCAGAUCGCGGGCACUCGGCAACUGCAGCUUUUGUCGAGUGCCCUGGAUUCGGCACUCGGCAAAGUGAAGUUUUAAUUUUUUUUAAAAAAAUUUAAUCGGAACACGGGCGUGCCAGCGGGCCCGUGACAUACUUUGCCGAGUGUGUAGCAAAAACACUCGGCAAAAUAUUAUCUUUACCGAGUGUUUUCGCUAGGCACUCGGCAAAGUACACUUAUAUUUCAUGUACACUUUUUCAAUAACGUGUUUUACUAACCUUUUUCUGAUAUACUUGGGAAAAACCUUAUCAAAUUCACUCAACAAUGGAUAUAUGGUUUUUCUACUGACAUUAUUCCAUUAUUUCAUUCAGUUAUAGCUCAAAUUGAAUUUAUAUCUAUUAAAAAUCAAUAAUUGCAUUUAAUAAAUAAAAAAUACCAAACGGAUCUGAAAAAUUUCCAAAAUUUGACAUGAACCAAUCUAUGUUGUAUGUUGCCUGUACAAAAAGCUUUGAAGUCAAACCCCAAUUCAAGUGUCACUUGGACUCCAAAUCUUAUCGGAUCCUUUCUAACUUCUAUGAAUCCUUUCGGGAGAUGAGUCGGUUUGUAAGCAUCAUAUGUCAUAAAUUGGGCGAAACCUUCUCAAUUUUUUACCACAGCCUCCACAUAUAAUAUCAUGACACCUUGACAAAUCUUGUGAUUUUCAGACUUCGUUUGCUUUUUUUAGAAUUUAACAACCAUUCAACCACAUGUUCGUGAUCGUGUUUUCUAAAAAAAUGUUCAAAAUUUCUUUUCAUUUCCUGGUUGAGACCUCAAUCCGGAUUGAAUAAUAUGAAUAUGAUUUUUUCACUGAUUUUAAUCCAUUAUUUAAAUCACUUGCAGUUAAAUUUGACUUAAAUAAACAAAUUCCUAUUAAUGCUAUCAAUUCAUUAAAAAUAGCAAACAGAGAAAAAAUAGACCAACUUUUAAGAUGGAUUACCAAAUGUCAUAUGUGGGGAGUAGAAAAAGUGUGGAGAGCAGAGGUGGAAAAAAAAGUUUUGCCUUUGCCAAGUGCCUACACAAACACUCAACAAACUUUGCGGAGUGCCUAUUGAAAACACUCAGCGAACUUCUGAGUUUGCCGAGUGUCUGGAGGGAGCACUCGGCAACCUACUUAUUUGCCGAGUGUCCGCGUCGGACACUCAGCAAAGUACUAACGGCUGGCACACUCCCCUAACGGACGGCGCACGUGCAAGCCAUGUGCUGGAGAUUUAUCGAGUGUCAAAUCGUUGCCGAGUGUCGUGUGGAUGUUUGCCGAGUGUCUUAUUUGUGACACUCGGCAAAGCUAUUGUUUGCCGAGUGUAUUAUUUAUGCCGAGUGUCUUCCAGUAUACACUCGGCAAAUGAUGUCUUUGCCGAGUGCUCGACAUAAAGCACUCGGCAAAAAUUUUACACUCGGCAACAUUCCUGUUUCCGGUAGUGAGUGACCCGGGACUAAAGACCCCCGUUGUCUCUGAUUGCUUUAUUCCGGAUGGAUUUUCAGGAGAUUUGCUCCCUACCAAUAGGGACUAAAGGCAAGUUUUCCACUUAUAGCAAACCAGUUAGCCCAUUGUUGAUGGAACGCAUCACUAGAAACAGCUCGGGAUCCACUUGUCCAAUAAUCGAGAGGGCCUAUAUAUGGACCACGUGUGCGGAUCCCUAAUUAGGAAAAAAGAAUAAUGGAGUAGGACAUCUCCAUGCUCACCUAGUAGCCGCUGCUAGCUUGUGCGUGUGGAACACGAGUGCCGGCCCAGUUGGCGCUAAGACAUCGUACGUGCAUUAAGGCUACGAUCUCUUUCUUCUAACUCAUGCUUGUGCUAUUAUACAUUAUUGCAUGAUCAUCAAGAUAAGAUCGUAUAGUGACUGAGUGAGACAUGUAUGUACUAACAUGCAUUUAAGCCUCGAACUGUGUGUUGUUACGUGAGCUGCCUCCUCACCUCGCCUCUGAAUUAUUGAACCGUUUCCAACAGUGUUGGUCUCAAAUAAAUUUGACACCAAACAGAUUUAUGAAGAAGAGAGAAUAAUACUUGGAAUUGGAAAAAGUUUAUCUCUCUUUACAAUGGAGUAGGGCUCCCUUUUAUAGUGACCCAUAAGCCACUUUACAUUUGGAAAAUGUCCUUCCUCAACCACUACAUUAAUUCCUAGGAUAUGCUGUACAUAAAGGUCAUUUGAGGUAACGUGUACAAAUGAACUCUUCCACAUGGUCACGUUUCUCAUGCCUCCUGUUUUCCAACCUCGAGACAUCAUCUUCACGCCAAGUUGAUCAUCUAGCCUCGAGGCUCCAUCCACGAUCCAGAAUGAACGUCCAGGCUUGAGGCUCCUUCUUCGUUAAGCUUUGUUGAGAACUCAUAACCUCACAUAGUUCUCCUCCGAGUAUUGUUCCCGACUCAGAACACUCGAGGUUUAGCUCAGUUGGAGUUUAGCUAUUACUGUUGCUAGUCACCAGCCUCGAGCCCCUCCAGAAGCAAGGUGAUGCGAGGGUACGAGUUUUACUAUUAAAGGUGUUUCCAUAGAAUGUGCGAGGUUAAAGCACUUGCAGCAAAAGCGUGGAGCUGCUUUCAACCAGAGUGCAAUAAUGCAGCCGUGCCCAUCUUGGUCUUGGUCUCCGCCUGAACUAUAGCAGAUGCUGGCAGCGGUAGCAGGGUGGUCCAUUAUAUCUAUGGAUGGCAAUGGUCGGAUUCGGAUGGAAUCGAAUUCGAAUAGCACUUUUUACCACAUACUAAUUCAAAUCCGAAUUCGGAUUCGGAUGUUCUCGAAUGCGAAUGCAAAAUGGAUGGUUCGAAUUCGAAUACUUAGCGGAUUUUUGCAUAAUAUUAAUCGAAUAGAAUUCAUUAAAUUUAGCCAAGAAAUUAAAUUUUCUGAAAUUAAAUACUUUCCCUUCGCCCCAGCGGCGGCCUAACUCCCAGGACGGUGGCGUGCGGGGCCCGAGCAUCCCUGGCCUCUAGUGGCGUGGCGGGGCGGCAUCCAGCAGCAGCGGCGGGGCUCGGCCUCCGGUGGCGCGCGGCCAGCCCGACCUACCCGGUCAGAGGUGGCGCAGCGGUGCGCGGGCCUCCCCGACCAGAGCCGGUGGGGAGCGGUGCGCGGGGAGGACCUCCCCAGCCGGAGGUAGCAGGGCGCGACCUCCCCGGCCGGAGGUGGCUCCCUGUGGGGGCGCGGCCGUGACAGCUAGCGAGGCAAUAAUUGCUUCCGUACGCAGCAAUAAUUGCUUGUGCGACACCGUGUUAUUACUCUGGUACAGUACUCCCUCCGUUGCAGUACACUGGUCCAGGCGUCAGGACACUGCUCCUGCCCUCGUGGUUCACGUGCAUCAGGCCAGCAGACAAGCUAUGAUGUUGCCAACAGUGUUUGUUUGAACAUGGAGAUGUCAUUGUGAUUGUCAGGGACCCGACACCAUGCAUGCCGAUUUCAUAUUCUUAAUAUUUAUUUUUUUAAUGGUUGUUGAAACUAUAUAGUUACUCCAAUAUCACGUUUCCGAUUAUAAAAAUUAACAUAAAGAGAUCGGAAGGGAGAGCCCGCAUAAUGAAGCCGACGCGUAUAAUAAGCACUAGAGCCGGCAUUUAUACAAACGGGUACGCAUAGUAAAAACUAGAAUUUAUAAAUAAAUGAAGAUAUUCAAAUAUCUGGCUUACUUUUUUCAUUAAUUUUGCAUGAAUAAGGGAUGAUUCAUUAAUCAUUAUUGAACAAAUUGGCACACAUGCUUCGUGCCCGCGUUGUGAGCAUUAUGCGAUGCCACUGAGCUGCACCACCACGGUAGAGGGCCUGUUUGCGAUGCCACCGAGCUGCACCACCACGGCAGAGGGUCUGUUUGGGAAGGGGAAGUUAAAGUUUAACACCCCCCAUUUAACACCUUUUUAACAAAAUGGCUGCUAAACACUUGUGUUAAAAGAGUAGUGUUAAAAUUUAACACCUCUCUUUUCAUAAACACAUGGAGGGGGUGUUAAAAUUUGCUAAAUGUGUUAAAAGUGGUCCCCUCCCCACUUAUUCCUUGGUUGCCCCCCUCUCUCUCCUCCUCUCUCUCCUACCCGCCGCAUUUAAGAGCAUUAUUGAGGGGUAAUGCAGUCCUUUUCCAACAAAAGUGUUAAACUUUAACAACCCUUCCCAAACAUGCCACAAGCAACACCACCGGCUGACUGUGCUAGCGGGGAGCACCCUCACCGCCUGCCCGUGGGGACUUCUUCUGCCGGCCAUCGUGUCUUUGUAGGACCGCCGCGUGAGCCUAUGAGCCACCGGUGGCCGUGCGCCCAAGGGCCAUCACCAUGCCACCUGAGGAUGCUGUCUACCCGGUGCCGCGUGCCUCUGCUAGCUGCUUGCACCUGGGCCGCCGCUGGUCGCCUGCACAGCCACGCGUUACAGCCGCCCCCCUGCGCUGGGCCACCCCAUUUCGUGUUGGAAGAACUGCCACAGUCUCGCGCACUGGGGUUUUGCUAGUGACGACCAUAGCCUCCAAGAUCAAAUGAAAAAGUUGGUACUCAAAACAUACAUCCAUUAAUCUAGUCGUGCUAAUCCUUACCACCAAAUAAAAACUAGCAUGUGUUGUGUUUUUGUGACCCUAAACGAUCACAAAUGAAUAACUUAUGGGCGUUGCUAGCCUAUAAGUUAUGGGCGUUUGUGACCCUAGUCGCGCCGGGGUCUUGCUGGUGACAACCAUGGUCUUCGCGAUAAAGUAUUAAGUCUCAUCGAGUUCUACAAUUUUGAUAUAAAAUUUCUAUUCAUCCGAGAUCAAAUGAAAAACAAAUGAAAAAAUCCGAAGUAUUAGGCUUCAUCGAGCUCUACAAUUUUGAUAUAAAAUUUCUAUUCAUCCGAGAUCAAAUGAAAAAAUCCGAGAUCAAAUGAAAAGUUGGAACUCAAAACAUACAUCCAUUAAUCUUGAUAUAAAAUUUCUAUUCAUCCGACAUCAAAUGAAAAAGUUGGUACUCAAAAUAUACAUCCUUUAAUCUAGUCGUGCUAAUCCUUACCACCAAAUAAAAAAACUAGCAUGUGUUGUGUGUUUCUGACCGUAAACGAUCACAAAUGAAUAACUUAUGGGUGUUGCUAGCGUCCCGGACGCUAGCAUCGGACGCAUGAGCAGCCGUCCGAUCGGGUCCGACACCACUUCACGAUCUGUCUUAAAAAAAAGUCCCACCGAAACAUUGUUCCAUGUUGCAUGAAAUACCCCACUAUCCAUCGCCAGGUCUACAGCAAGCACCACCUUCCAAUCUGCUGCUCACCCAAGCUAAAUAGGGGCAUUAAAAUUGCAGAAAUAUGUCACAUAUCCUUGUCAAAUUAAACUAAAUCGCAACAUCCGAAAAUUUCUUACACAAAACCAUGAAACAUAUCGAUUAGAUAGGUGUAACAAGAUGGAAUAUGGUAUCCAACAUAUAGAUUCCGAAAAACAGAUGAAACAUUAUGUAACGAUUGUUGAAACAGUCGAGAAAUAUAGAUGUAACGAUUAAAAUUUAGAAAAGAAGCUUUAUGCAAAUUGCAAAAAGCUGAAAUAAGUGGUUGAAACAUUUCGAAUCACCAAAUGCCACAUUUGAAAUGGCUACAUGAAACAUCACGAAAUCAAUUGCAACAGUUGAAGAUGAAAACAUUCAAAUGCCUUGCCUUUCUCCAGAUUUGACCCUCCAAGCAUGAGUCCAGCCAUUUGCACAUUAGACCCUUGGGAGGAGCUCACCGGAGAACAACAAGACCGUGUUCUCCAACAAUUUUCUGAUCAAAUUGCAACAGACAAAACAAAGCAUUGCAACAUCUGGCAUCACGAGCUACAACAUCAACAAGUUAGGAUCAGGAGAAAGAGGGAAAACACAAGCCUAACAACCCCAAGACAAAACUGAUGUACUCAUCAUACAUCACGGCUUGCCGUGCACAGAGAUGAAGGCCGCCAAGCUCAAUCGAGACAGAGACGACGUGAUAGUGCUCCAGAUCGACGGUCCCCAUCAAUUGUUGCGUACACUGCCAAAAGCAAUGGAAGAAGAAGGGUCGUCCCUGCUCGACCUCCGUAGAUGAGCGCAGAUUGGGGGAAACCGUAUAGAGUGCCGCUGACAGCACAGGCGAGGGGGCUCAGGCUUGAUUCAGGGUGAGGGUAGCGGGUAGCAUGAGGAGACAGUCAGGUUUCAUAGGAGAGAGGCGGAGUAGAGAGCUCUGGUGACUCGGUGAGGAGGGUGCGGCACGGAGAAAGGUGUGUAGCUGAAGGAGCUACAUGGUUGGGGCGAGGCGAGCGUAGAGACUAGAGAGGGAAAAAAAGCAUGGGGAGGAGACGAUAUGUGGUUGAUGGUGCGGGCACGUGGUGAGCGCACCGUAUGAAAAUUUUGCUCGCGUCGGAUGACUGAUGUGAAGCAUUACCCAAUCUUAAUUAUCUCCCAUAAUCCAAAACUCACAAAAACAUCAAAAAUCCGCCGAGAAUAAAUUAAGUAAACCAUGCACACACAGAUAAUAAAAUUGCUAAUAAGGCCAGAGAUAAUACAUGAACAUAUUAGACUGUUCAUGACACAUAUCACGGUGGAUAGUGUCUGUGUCCUUAUUACAAGCAAUGAGAGAUGCUUGUCACCACACACACGCGCACAGAUGCAUGACAUACAUAUAGUUGAGACCAACAGAUGGAUCAACUAGAGGUCACCCCAUAUGGUGAACAAUUUAUUGGAGAUAAACAUUAACAUAACUUGGCCAUAGCUUGAAGCAUAGCAACAUAUGCCUAUGAAUGGCGUUCAUGCUAUCGUUUUAGGCUUGUCCAGCUUCUUUCAUCUUAGCAAGCACUUCCAUUUCUACCAUCUUAGCAGCAACUGUCAAAUUGAGAUAUGGAAAUCCCAUUAGCGCAUGAUUAAUUUUGCAGUGGAAAUAGAGUGCAAGAUAUCUUCAUGAUGUAAAUAACAUGCCUGAAGUUGUGAGAUGGGAAGUGAAGUCAACAAAUUACAUUAACGGAAAUGCAUGGAAGGCCACACAUACGUAUUAGUCCAUAAUACGCUACAAAGCUUGUAUGUACAUAUAGCAAAUUAAAUGCAUUAAUUGAAUAGAGUGAGUUUAGUGAAUUUACCAGAAUCGUCCAGAAAACAUGGGAAACAGCAAGUGUGCUUGCAGACUGUGUCGGAGCCACCCACACGAAUACAAAGCUGACAACAUGCUUGUGCCUCGUGGGAUACGCAGCAGCCGCACUGUGCCGCGGUGGCCGAGUUAACAUUGAGGCUCAAGAUGAACAGGCACAUGAUCACCAUCAAAGUGGUAGUCCUCUUUCCCUCCAUUGCCUCCUGUCGCUGCUACCUUCCUUGGUUACUAGUAAGUUUAUUGGUUUUGUGUUGAGAGGUGAUUCUUGCAUUGAAUGGACGUUGCCGCGGCUGCAAUUUAUAGGCAGCUGCGCUAUGUGAUGAUAUGGACAAGGUGCAAAUGGGUGGUCCUGAUAU